UCUCUAACUUCUAAUUCUAUGGCCAGCCGCCUCAUCUCUCUGGCAAGAUCCUUCUUCUUCUUCGUACCUCUAAAAAUUCUCCCCUUCGAGCCCUAAAAUUCAAGGGUCCAUGCCAUGGGAAAUCCUAACAACAUUGCUCAAAUUCUAAGACCCAUACCAUACGAAACCCUAACGAGCUACAUGAGGUUGCGAAACAUCCACCAUGCCACUAUGCCACAAGCUCAGAAGAUCCUCUUUAGAUCUCCACAUUUUGCUCACCCUACUCAAGUGCGCACCGCCCCUCUCGCUUCGACUUCUCUGGAUUUCUUGUUAGCUGAACUUUUGUUUUCUUCUGCUAAUUUGAUCUUCGACUGCCGUAUGGUUAGAUCGGUUCGCUUGGACUCCAUCAUGAUGGACAAAUCAUGUGCGAGGCCUAAGACACUGUUGUUAAAGGUCGAAUCACUAUUUUAGCCUCAAUUGAGAUUUUAAUUUGUUUAUCUAAUUGGAAAAUUAAUGCUUUGAAUUGUAUUGUGUUAAUUUCUUUGGAUAUGCUUAACUGAAUUAUUGCAUACUCAACUAAAUUAAAGGUUAGAUCAUCAUUUCUUAGUUCAAUCUGUAGUUUUAUUUUUUAAUUUUUAGGUGGUAGUUUGCUGAUGUAUUAACUUUAUACUUGUAUGAAGGUAAAUAGAAUUGCAUUGGCUAGGACUCACAGAACAUGUAAUUAAUCACUGUAAAUUGAUUCUUAAGCUAGUUUCCUGAAGGCACUAACAUUGGGUAAAGGUUUUUCAUGUUUAGAUAAUUUCAUUCAAAUUGGAUUAAUAUACCCUAGCGUAGCUAGUUCCUGUGCGACUUAUUGACACGAAAGGACAAUUUAAUUCAAAGUGAACUAAUUAAGCAAGCUUUUAGUUUAUAUAUAUAUAUGAACAGAGAAACAAACAAAUUUUAGCAAAUCAUUUACAUUAUACAUUUGAAGAAGUGGUUUUAACAUGAUGCACCUUUUUAACAAGUUGUACUAUUCUAAUUUCUUCUGCAUUACCAUUAGAAAUAUAACGCACAUGUAUAAAUCAACCUUAAGUAUUAGUCCUGUUCAGGUACAGAUGUCUAGAUUUAGGCUAUUAUAUAUUAGAGUUUUACAACUUUGAUUGUAGUUCGAACCGAGAUUUUAUGAACUCUGAACGUCUGGACUUGAGCAUCAAAUCUAGAUUUUGAUCACCAGCAAUGAAUAUUUCUGAUUCGUAACGCUUUGACUGCACUUUGAAGAGUUCUCGAUCUUCCAUGCAUGCUUAUAAAUGGAAGCAGUUGUGAAUCUCAUCAUGAAAGGCACUCUCCUUUGCCUUUAUUCCUUUCUUAGCAAAGACUUCAGCUAUAAAAACACGAGUGUGUCCUUCAAGAUAUCCAUUCGAAGCAUCGUUAAAAAUCAAGAACUUGUCUCUUUUUUUAUCAAGCACAAAUAAAAAUCUAAUAUCUAAUUCACUGUUGUGGACUGUUAUGACCAUUGAUAUUCACUAAAUUAAUUAUCUUAUUUUGCAGUAACAUAUUUUUGUGAAACGUAACUAAGUAGUACUUUAGCUACUGAUCCUUUUUUUAGUUUAGAAACUACCUCUUUCGAAUUCUUAAAUGUCCAUAAAUGAUAUUCCUUUUAUGUAAUAUUAAUUUCUUGCCCUAUUGUACUAAAUUUAUCUUAUCAAUACUUCUCUUUAAUUAAAAACUAAGAGUUUUUGUCACCAUCUCACUUGGUAAUAUUUGAUAGAUGUGAUUUUAUUUCAGGAUUAAGAUUGUCAGAGAUUUCCUUCCAGGAUUAAGAAUUAUGUCAAUGAACAAACGUGAUCGCAUAAGUAAUUAAGCAAAAAAUCAAUGAAUUUCUUUAUUUUGUGAGAAACAAAGAAGAAUACUUAUUAUUACAAUGCCUCGGAGAUUCUGAGCACAGUGAUCUCAGCUUCCACAACGCGAACGUCGUUCACAAGGUACCCAUUCUCUGGGUCAUUUAACUUACUCAAUGAAACGAAUCUCGACCAACCCCACUUAUUAUCGCCUGGUGCAUGGAACCUUUCUCUGCCUCCUAGAGAAAAAGAAUCAUUCUCAUUAUACACAUUAUUUGAAUUCUAUAGCCUCAAAUUAAGUUUAUUAUUAUUAUUUUGGGUUAAAGGUACUUUCAAAAUCAAAAGUUAAAGAAAACUGCUUGAAAAUCACUCAGUCAAGCUGCCAGUAGCAACUAAAUUAGUUGCGUAUUAGAACAAGCAAUGUGCCUUAAGAAGAUUCAUGCAUUGCCCGAACUUGAUCUAAGAUUCGAAAUGUAAACUUUGCGUAUACUUUAACAGUACUCCGAACUGUGGAAUCUUCAAAAACCAAGAACAAGGAAAGACAAUCGCCAGCAUUGGGCCCAGUUCCCAUGGGUGUAGCUCUGUCUUCCUGAAAACACCGAAAUGGUAUUUUAUUAAUUGUACACUGUUGGGUCAUAAACUUGAUCCAAGAUGAAUAAAUUCAAGCCCAACUCAUGGAAGGUUGGUGAGGUUUAAAUUAUUUGUGUUAGGUGUGGUAGGUGUGGUUGGUGAAGUAGGUGAGUGAUAGGUUUGAAUGGAUUGUGAGGAUUUGUUUAUUAAUUGAAUAAAUGAAUGGUUGUGAUUAGUUUGUUUCAUGUAUAAAUAUCAUCUCUCCUCUUUGGUUUAAGUAUCAAGUGAAGUAACAAAAUUUCUAAGUUGUAGAAAGUGAAAAAUAAGAGUUGUAAUUGGUGAUGAGUAUUGUUGAAGAAAUAAAAUAGUGUGUUUUUUUAGUGUUAUAUGUGUUAAGUCUCCAACAUACACUCACUGACAACUUUGUCCCAAGAACUCAUUAUUUAUUAUACCUGUAGAAAUUAAAAAAAAAACUUAAAAUCUUUGAUACCAUUUGUGAUUUCCAGCAUCGAAAACUUGUGAUUCCUCGUAUCCUGCGUCUAAGUUCUCGAUCUUCCAAACACACUUACAACUAAUUGAAAUUUCUUUUAUAGAUUGGCACUCUCUUUUGAAUUUGUUUCUUUCUUUAACAAGGACUUCAGCUUCAAAAACACACGUAUCUUCGACAAGGUAUCCAUUCGAAGCAUCAUUGAAAGCUCUAAGCGGGAUAAAUUUAUCAAAAUUAACCCCAUACAUGCUUCAGUCCAUUAAACCGUCUUUCCUUUCCCAUGAUAUCUAUCACAUUACAAGCAACCACUCAUUAUGCAUGCAUUCAAUUUUUUUUCCUAAUGUUGCAAUAUACAAUUCUGCACACUAAAUUUGAUUUAACCUUGAACUACACAGUAGUUUUCUUGGUUCUGAUCAAGUAAGAACAGACGAAAAACUGCCGAGACUUCCCAAUCCAAAGUAAAUGAACUUGUGUUAUUAAGGAAAAGAAUAUAUAUAUAUAUAUAUAUGUACCACUUGUAUCCUCCAACUUCAAAUUCUCCUGAUUCAUAUUCCUCUUCUGCUUUUUCUGCAAGUAAUGAUAAUGAUUUUAUUUUGACGAUGAAAUGAGCCGGUGGUAGUGAAGUGUAUCUUGCAAUGGCUAUACAUUUAAGUAAUUUUUAAUUAAUGCCGAUUGAUUAGAAAUAACAAUAAGCUGAAAUUUUUAAGAAUAUUGUCCUCUAGAGAACGUGAGAAAAGGUUGAACAUACAUACCAUCUUUGUUAACAAAGAUAUUUUCCAUUGCGAAAAGUUCUCCAAAAAGUUGUUGAAUUUUUAUUUUUAUUUUUGGUAACUUGGACAGCACGAAGUCGUUUUAAAUAAAAGAAAAAUAAAAAAACUGGGAGGAGGUACUGAGUUUCAUCUCUCAGAAAACUCAUAGAAUCUAGAACAUAAAAAUGUGAUGCUUGAAAAUACAAUGAAUAAACAUGAUUUAAGCAAAUAUACAAUGAAUCUUCAUUAAUUACUACAUUAGGGGAUAAAUAAAAAAAUUUAAUAAAAAGCCUAAUGAUUGGACUGUUUAUAUCCUACUUUCUAAUUGACCAAACUCGAAAAUAUAAACUCAAUCGAAAUUUUCUUUGGUUUGUACUAAUCUUCGUUACAGCGCUUAGAAAAUUCUAAGCUCAUGUAGCGAUUGUUCAUUUCACAGAUUAUUUUGUGGGGAGAAAUUUCUUGAUUGUUAAUAAUUAAACAUAACAAAUAUAUAGAUAUUAAUUGCAUGUAUAAUAAUGUGCAAGUAUUAAAAUGUACUUCAAAGCUUAAAGCGAAAGUAAGAGUUUGUUUGAAAUUGAAGUGUUGUAACUUUUAAGGUACAACUAUUGUAGAAAAAAAUUAUAAUUAUGAAAUAAAAGUUAAUAGUGUAUUGUAAAAAUAAUUUUUAAUAAUAAUUUUGACAAAAUUAUUAAAGAUAUAAUAGAUUUUUCAUCAGAAAAAACCUCUUUUCAUCCCUAAAGUUUCAUGUAAUAACUCAUUUCAUCCUUACUUUUUAAAUAAUAGCCCAAAACAUCCUUCCGCUAACCACUGUUAGUUUAAUGCCGUUAACUAGUAAUUCAUUUAAAUUGGUAAAAUAUGAUUAUUAUUAAAAUGUUUCAAACUAUAUUAAAAUAUUUUUUUUAUACAAUUAAGUAACACUACAAAAUAUGCAAAAUUUAUUAAUUUUUUCUUAAAUGAAAUCAACGAUGAAGUAAUUUGAUAUAACCACUUAAUAGUUUCCAUAAGCAACAAAUUGUAAUUAGCACAAUAUCUUUAAAUAAUUAGAAGAAAAAGUAAAAAAUACAACCAAAUUUUAUGUGCUGAAAAUUUUCUUAAUCUUCAACCAAUUUUUAUUUUGAACUUGGCCACCACUCUUCUUCGACCAUUAUUGUCUUCCCAAGUCCUUACCACUAUCUUUUUUGGUAUUUAUUGUUUAGUGGGAUUAGAUAAACAUUAUUUUUAGUUAUAUGUCAACUUUUAUUUUUUUUUUAAUUUUCUCUUUAAUAGAAAAUCUUUUUUUACCCUCAAUGAAUAACUAACAAACAACGUUUAACUAACAGUGAGUUAAUAAAAUGAUGUUUUGAGUUAUUGUUUAAAAAGUAGGGAUGAAAUGAGGUAUUACAUGAAACUCUAGGGAUGACAGAGGAUUUUUUCCUUUUUCAUCAUACAAGUGAAAAAUCAUAUUAAGAUAGCUUUUAAGCUAUAACAGUUAUUGUUUAUUAAACACUUUAGCGCUGUAACUCUGCCCAACUUCAAACCCAAACACACCCUAAGUCUAGAUCGACAGAAUAGCCCUAAGUUAAAAAUGUGCAUGAAUCUUGAAAAAUACGAUAUUAUUGAAUCCUAAUUAGAUCCAACCAAAGCUUUGUGCAUAACAGCCUAGAUGAUAUAUUUAUUUUAAAUAAUUAAUCAACGUGAAUAUACAAAUAUGAUAAUAGCGGUGGUUCAAAAGGUUUGGGUUUCGAAUUCGGAUUACAUUAGGGUUGAGGAGUUGAUUGAAUAUAUAUUGCAAAAUGGGAAAAAAAUGGAAAUAAUAGAGAAACACACCUUGUAUAUUGAAUAUCUUUUUUUUUUUUUUUUCUUUUGAAGAUAAGUUAACUUAAAAUUUAGCUUAAUUUUAAUCCUAAAAAUUUAAGAAACUAAAUUAAGUCCUAACUAAACUAAAAUUAUAAAAACGACUCGAAUACGACCAAUUUGACUGAUUAUAAUUUGUAAUAUAAUUUUACCAAGACAGAACCAUGAUUGAUUACUUGCACCUUGCAUGUUAACAAUCAAAAGAUCUCUUUGUUUGAUGAGAAUUUGGCAUGAAUUGAAAUUCAAACACGGGCAAAGUGUUAAUGGAGCAGUGAUACCAGAAAAAACAUAACCUUCCUCCCUCGCCCAUAAUGUCAAACAACUACAAGACCGGUAGCUAGCUCUUCAAAGGUACUGAAGUCCAAAAUAGAGCCACGAUUAUCACUAGCUCACUUAUUGCACAGAUACAUGAAUAGAAGCAUCAAUUUUGAUUUGAUCACCAUCAAAAUUUCUGAAACAGAUUGACUGACAAAAGGGAGGGAAACUAAAUUCUGCUUGGCCGAAAAUCAUGUGACGUGGGACCCGAAAGCUUAUAAGCACAACCCCAAAACAAAGUCUCAGAAAUUUAUAAAAAAUGAUACUACCGAGCAUACUAAAGUCAUAUGACCUGGGUCACCAAUUCUCUUCUUCUUUUUUUUUUUUUUUUUUGGGCCUUCACGCUCGUUGGUUCAAUUGUCUUCAUACUACAAAAAAAUGCAUCUUUUGUUUGUUGGUUCCUGCACAAAUUGAAUGUUACCUCCCGAUUUUAACCAAAGGUGAAGAGAUUGAUGAAUAAGCAAUAUGUGAAUGACAACUUGUUCUAUCAUCCCAUUUGUAGGUGGCAUUAAAAUUUAAUGAGGUAAAUAUUGGUGAGGGAUUUUAUUGGGUUUAAUGCCUGUGAAUCAUGUCUUCACUGUUCUUAUGUCUGGAAAGUUUUCCUCGGUCAUGAUUGUUUACGCAAGCAUUAGGAAAAAUCAUAAUUCUUUACCUUAUUGUUUUAUUUACUUCCACAUUAUUGAAAAGAUUCACUUCUUUUGACAUUUAAGCUUUAUCUUGCUCUGUUUUUGAACAGGUUGAGGUGGAAAGAAUUCAUAUUGGCUUGCUGGGAUAAUUUUGGUUUACAUAAUUUGCUUCUAUGGCUACGGAAAGUUACCCUUUCACAUUAUCUCUCUAGUAUUACAUUAUUAUCUGGUCUCAUCUUGAGAGUUAAGAUUCUCGCCGGAGAUCCUAGGCUUUUCCCUCAUUUUCUUUUCAAGUAAUAGUUUGGCGGAGGGAAUCCAAAGCUUUUUAUGUUAUUGUCAUUUCUAACUUCAUUAUUUUUUCCAAUUCCAUGUUGGAUUCACCUGGUAGAAGCAUAAGCUAGCAAAGAUGAAAUGAACCAAGAGCAGGAAGUGAGUUUCUGUCGAUUAAUUUCUUCUUUUUUAAUUGCAAAUUGAGUUGGUGGUACUGAUAACGACAUGUUUUUUCUUCAUUAUUUCUUUUAAAUAAAAAACUAAAGCUCCUAUUAUACACAGGAAACGCCAUUGCCUCAGUCCCAGAACAAAAUGGUCGGUACUUUUUUUAUAUCCAUUAAAUGAAUAAAUAUUAAUUUAUAUUUAUAGAAAUAAUAUCACGUUGAUAAUAUGAUUUUUUUAUGAAAUAUAGUGGUAGUAUAAUUAAAGAAUUUAGUGAUUCUGAGCUAGUAUAAUUAGAAAAUUUAGUGAUCUUUUUUUUUUUGAGUAAAGAAAUUUAGUGAUUCUAACGUAGUAUAACUACAGAAUUAAGUGAUUUUAUCAUGUUGUAUGAUAGGAUUUUAAUUCGAUCUGGAUUGAGUGAAUCAAUCAUUUGAUAAUUCUUUGGUUAGAUUGUACAGUUGGAUCACGAUUACAUGGUAACUCAUGAACUGAGAUUUUUUGGAGGCAAUAGAUUAAAUCUCUCUCUCUUAUUUCUCUUACCACAACACAUAUAAUACAACAAUAACUUCUCAACUGAAAAGUAUAAAAAAAGUAAUGUUGAUCAAUAAAAUGCAUAAAACAUUAUGCCAGUACAACAAAAAAAAUCAUAGACAUAUCAUAUGUAUUUAGUUUUAAAUUAAUUAAUUAUUAAUACAUGUAUUAAUUGGGUCUUAUAAAAAAAUAAAUUUUUUUAAAAUAUAUUAUCUAAUAAAAUUUAUCAAAUUAUUAAUUUACCAUAUUGACUCUAUGUCAAACUGAAGAAAACUAUUAUUUAAUAGGAGUUAUCAAUUUAUCAAUAUUAAUUCAACGGGUUCAAUUCUACUUGGUUUUCAUUUUCUUAGUAAGUGAAGUUAUUAGUUCUCUUGCAUCCUAAUUUUCUUCGUUUCAACUACUUUUUUUUUUCAUUUUUCAUUUUUCAUUUUUCUUUUUUCUUUUAAAUCAAAAUCUUAGAAGAGAAGAAUUACAGCGUAGGGGACAUAAUGAAUUUCUCCUUAAAGAGAUGCAGAGAAAUAGAACACCAAAGUAACACUAAAAAGUUAGCUUGACAGCAUAAACAAUAAGCAAUGUAAGAGUUAUUUUGGAAAACCACAAGAGAAAUAAAUUUCCUGAUAGCUAAAAUAAAUUUCCUAGAUUAGCCAGGCAGUCAGCAUCACACAAUAAAAGAACCCAUUUGGAGGACAAUUAAUUACUUGUUAUAAUGGGUUGGAAAUUCCAAGCACAGCGACCUCAGCUUCCACCAUGCAACCGCCAUUCACUAGAAAUCCAGUCUCUGGCUCAUCUAACUCACUCAAUGAAACGAAUCUUGGCCAGCCCCAGUUUUCGCUGGGUGUAUUGAACCAGUCUUUAUUCUCUAAUAGAGUAAAAGGAACAUUCUCGUUAUAUUAUUUGGAUUUGCCUCAAAUACUAAUUGCAUGUAAACACAGAUAUUUUACCUCGAAAAGAUUUAUGUUUUGCCCCCACUUGAUCUAUGAUUCACAAUGUAUGCACUGCAUAUAUAUAUACUUUAAUCACCUUCACUGUGGAAUCUCCAAAAGCCAAGUACAGAGAAAGAUGAUCGCCAUCACCACAGCCAUUUCCAAUCUGGAGGAAUGUGCUUCACAAACAAAGAAACAAACAAACAUUACCAGAAGCAACUAUGCAGUUACUGGUUCGGAAACACAAAACCUAGAGUCACUGAAAACGGAGAGAACAAUUACUAUCUUUCAGUAAAGAAGCAAAACAACUAAAACCUAGCUUUGCCAGCUUUCGCAGCACGCAGCCCUUCAGUAAUUAGUGAUCAAGGCUUGAUGAUCAAGCAACAGGACCAUAACUCGCAUGGAUGAAUUUCAAAUUUAGGAGUCCAAUAAUGCGAGCGGUUUGAGUGAGAUAUUUUAACUGAAUUAUUGGCAAUUAAAACUUCAGAAACUAACAGGUGUCUGAAAAGCUUCUACCUUCACUUUUGCAGCAACCACUGCAUAAUGUCCUUUCGCAGGACUCCAUCAAACCCAUUUCUAUUGUAGUUCAAACUCAACAGAUCAGAUCCAUUUGUCUCAAGAUGCCGAUAAUGGGUUGUCGUUCCCGCAGGCCUUGGAUGCCGCAUCAUCAUGGCAAUGGUAGAAAAGGGUGGUUUUGGCCAUAUAUUUUUUGAUGAGCUAAACAGAUGUCUAUCAGAUUCCUUGUUUCUAGAUGUUUGGACUCCAGGAGUUUUUGGAUUCGAGGACUUCAUUCCAUGGUUGGCCAUGCUCAUGCUGGGGCCAUGUGAAGGUUUCUCAGGGGGACCAUGUAUCUGGGCAUAUGGUUUCAUUCAGUCAAGCCAACGUAGAAUCCAGCAUUUCUACCAACUUCUAUGUCCCUCUCAUGUAUGUUCCUGUGAAACUUGAGAGCAACAUCAAAGGCAGCACAUACUCGGCUGUGGAAAAAUCAAUGAAGAAUGAAGGUCAGUCUUCAAAAAACAAUGGCAGUUCCAAGUUGGAGGAGUAAAUUUGUUAUUAUUCAAAACAAUUGUAGAAAUAACAGUAUUUGCCAGCUAGUAAUUGACAUAACAGCAGUAGUUAAACAGUAAAAUGGAGUCCAAUGAGCCAACCAGUGGGAAGAAUGCAAUGCUCAGGCAGUACCGUGGGCAAUAUCACACUGAGACUCUAAGAGUGGAGGAUGUGCAAUUAUUGGCUUCAUGAGGCAUACUAAAUCAAUUCAAAGUUCAAAGUAUUGAAACAAUUAACUAAUUUAGGAUUUCCAUUUUAUGCACUAGAUCGGAAGGAUUCUGGAGCAAAAAUAUGUGCCCUGGUAACUUACUUUCAUGAAGUUAAUAACGUCCUACUAAUAAACAUCAAAAUGCAACGGCCCAUUAAAAAGAAAAGCACAGAAGAACUUUCAAUCUAUCAUUUCAAAACAGUCUCUCUGAACUAAACAAGAGUACAGCUAUGAUCUCCAGCUUUGGACGUUAGUACUUUUGCUUCUCCAAAAUCUUCACAUCACCUAAAGAGAGAGAGCAAUUUAAGAAUGUGCUCAUAAUAAUGAAAUUAGUUCUGGUAUCCGAGCAUUGUAGCUUGAUUGGAUAAUAAGUUCACAGGAAUACAUAUGAGACUCUCUAACUGCUUCACCUACAGGUACUACAAGAAGCUGGCAAACAUGUUGCUUUGACAUCAAGGGUUCAACAUAAUGCCAAAACAGCAAAAACAUUUUGUUAAAAGUUUGAUAUGGCAAAUCUAAAAGAUAAGUUGAUUCAAAUCCCAUAAUGGGCACACAGACAAUCUAGAAUGAGAGAAUGCAGGUUGCAGUUGCGAAUAUUCAACGAUCAACUGAGUUGAUAAUAACUUCUCCUAAUCCUUUAAAGGAUUGGCUUUGCUCCAUAAUUGGUUAAAUCACAAAUUUAGCAACCUAGCCUAUCCAAUAUGUCAUAAGAUCACAUAUUUAGAAGCUGAUUUUAUUAUGAAAGGCACAGGGCCAUUCUAAGUCAGAUAGGGAAGAAUAAUUGCUUUCAGGGAGGAGCCCAGUGGUCUCUCAUAUUGCAUAUGAUAUCAAGUCAAUGUGAACCAUUCACAUCAGCUUACAACCAAGCUGAAGUAGAAAUGUCAGGAUGCACGAUGAACUAGUUGAAGUACUAUUCUAAAGUUUUUCCAUCCAUAUUCUUAUAUAUUUAACGCAAAUAAAAUACAGAUUGGUACUUUGUUAUAGUUGUAUUCAAGCACAUAUUUGGCCUCUGUACAACUAAACUUCAAUGGAGCUCAUAAGAUUGGAAGCAAUAAGUUCAUCGGAUUAGCCAAGAUGGGGCACACUCAAAAGUAGACAAGUAGAGUACAACAGGUGCAUCUAACAAGAAAACUUCCAUUUUAAGAGAUGGUCUAGUGGCAUGGUACUCAGACAGAAAUUCCAGACCAUGAAUAACAAGUUAUGAACCACCAUCAAAGUAACUUUUCAAAGAGAUGAUUAAUACAUAGCCAAAGACAAGCCAUCAUAAUUGUGGACUGUUCAAAGAGAUGAUAAUACAUAGGCAAAUACAAGCCGUCAUAAUCGUGGACACAUAUCCUAAGAUAAUCCCAUUCCGCAGGAUGCAUUGCUGCAACAUAUAGAAUUCAGAUUCGACGCAAUCAACUCCACAUAAUCCAUCAAAAUCCCAUUGAAGAGGCAUUAGAAGGUAGAAAUUUCAGCUAAAUUUUUUUUGAAGAAAUGGAAAUAGAAGAAAGAAUCGUACCAUAGGUAGUGAGAAGAGAGAAUACAAGGGAAGAGAAAGGAGAAAUUCUAUGAAUCUUUGACCCCAAAAGAAAACCAAAAUCCAUACAAUACCUCCCUAAAGAACACACGCUUUUAUGGUUUUUGAUGGCAUAGGAGUACUUCCUAAGGAAAUAUAUAAGUAAUUAGGAGAUGCUACAAGAAUAGCUCAUGUCUGUUGCUUCCUAUAUAGUUACUUCCAUAUUCUUAUAUAUUUAAGGCAAAUAAAAUACAGAUUGGUACUUUGUUAUAGUUGUAUUCAAGCACAUAUUUGGCCUCUGUACAACUAAACUUCAAUGGAGCUCAUAAGAGUGGAAGCAAUAAGUUCAUCGGAUUAGCCAAGAUGGGGCACACUCAAAAGUAGACAAGUAGAGUACAACAGGUGCAUCUAACAAGAAAACUUCCAUUUUAAGAGAUGGUCUAGUGGCAUGGUACUCAGACAGAAAUUCCAGACCAUGAAUAACAAGUUAUGAACCACCAUCAAAGUAACUUUUCAAAGAGAUGAUUAAUACAUAGCCAAAGACAAGCCAUCAUAAUUGUGGACUGUUCAAAGAGAUGAUAAUACAUAGGCAAAUACAAGCCGUCAUAAUCGUGGACACAUAUCCUAAGAUAAUCCCAUUCCGCAGGAUGCAUUGCUGCAACAUAUAGAAUUCAGAUUCGACGCAAUCAACUCCACAUAAUCCAUCAAAAUCCCAUUGAAGAGGCAUUAGAAGGUAGAAAUUUCAGCUAAAUUUUUUUUGAAGAAAUGGAAAUAGAAGAAAGAAUCGUACCAUAGGUAGUGAGAAGAGAGAAUACAAGGGAAGAGAAAGGAGAAAUUCUAUGAAUCUUUGACCCCAAAAGAAAACCAAAAUCCAUACAAUACCUCCCUAAAGAACACACGCUCUUAUGGUUUUUGAUGGCAUAGGAGUACUUCCUAAGGAAAUAUAUAAGUAAUUAGGAGAUGCUACAAGGAUAGCUCAUGUCUGUUGCUUCCUAUAUAGUUACUCCAUAGUUAGUUCACACAAAAAUAGUUUCUGUAAGGUAAACAUGGUUUACUUUCACUGCAAUAUAUAACAUAAGUAGACGACAACACUCAUAUCUGGAUAAACUUUUGAAAUUAGGUUUUCAGGAUCUUUUACAAAUUUGUAAUUUUUAUUUGCUUCACCCUCUCCCCCUAUUCUUAGAAAACCUAAAAUUUUGGAUCCUUCUGUCCGUUGCCUUUGCUAAUAAGCAGUUCUCUGUCUAGCCGCUAUUAAGCCACAUUACCUCCACAAGAAAUCAAUUCCUAGCCACAAAACACUCCAUUACUCUCCCCAGCUUUGUUACAUUAGAUCUUUAGCAAGCAUCAAUAACCAAAUUCAAAAUAACACACACUACUAUGCACUUAAAUCAAAUUACCAAGAUCAAUUUUGAAAAAUAUCAUAAAAUCGUGAAACACAAGAACAUUGCAUUGCAAUGUAUUGUUAAUAUAUCCCAUAUCAGUAUCAUACAUAUCAUUAUCAACACCACGAAUACCACCACCAUCAUCAUAAACCUCUUUUGACUCCAAAAUCAACAGCUCUUAUUGUCGUAACGAGCAUAGCUACAGAACCCAUUACUGAAAAUUAACACUUGAAACCACCUAGCUUAAUUAAACCCAUCUGCUAAUAAACCUAUUCAUUGCUAACCCAUCAAGCUACAAAUUAAUCAAAAUCAAACUCCAAACAAAAUGAAAUAAUCAAAUAAUAAUAACAACAACAGUAACACAAAUAUACCGGUGAACAAAUUGACGAAUCCGGGGGUGCUUAGGGCUGAUAACGCGGCCCUGAAUCCUCAAAGCAAGCCUGUACGUCCGCUUCAUCCCCAAGAAAUACGCUGUUCCCAAUGUGAUCUCCCAUAGCACCAUUGUCUCUCUUUCUAGAACUCUCUCUCUCUCUGUGUAUUGUUCGUGUAUUUAUGCACUUUUUUUUUGUUUUAUGUUUAUUUAUUUAUGGAUAUUUUUUAUAUUUUGACGUUUCUUUUCUCCCAAGUAUCUAUGGAUCCCUCGCUUCAGAGAAGUAUCUAUGGAUCCCUUGAUUCGAGCCGCCAGAUAUUUCGAUCUUGGUUACCCAUCACGCUUCGGCCUUAGAGUGUUUAUCCGUUUUUUGUCUCCGGACUUCAUAUGUAUCUAAAGAGGAAUUUUUGAGGAUUAUGCCAUCAAUAAAAAUAAAAUUUCCAUAAACAUGACAAAUAUGUGAGGAAAAGUCUAGAAAGCCCUUCCAUUAGAAUGACACACUCUACCCACACCCAGUAGUUAGCUGCCCGACCUUUUUUUAGUUGACAACUAUACUCGACUUUAUUUUAACCAAUAGUUACAUAAUUGUGAGACUCAUUUUCAUAUUCGAUCUAUAUUUAAUUUUUUAAUUACUCGAAUAUUAUCGAAAAUGAACUAAUUAUGAUUAAAUUAUUUAUUAAUCAUUCCAUAAUUAUCUAAUUGUACUUAAGUAAUUUAUCUAUGCUAUGCAUUAUAAUGAACGAAAAAUUAAACUAAAGAAAGCCUGUCACUUUUUUUAUAAAAAAAAUUGGAGAGAGAGGGGCAAAAUAGUCUAUUGUGUUGCUAUAUUGAAUGAAUAUAUUUUAUAGUCUUUGUGCAAUUCACUCGGUCGUAAUCACAUAUAAGUGAAUAAAGCCGAAAGCAGGCGUAGUUCUGGAAAUUGGCCAUUUAAAAUUAAAAAAAAAAAAAAACUCUACAUCUCUUUGAGUUCUCCCGGCCUCAUCUCAACAGUUGGGUUCUCUGUUUUUUUUUUUAUAAUGCCACUGUUUUAGUGAAAGAGAUCUUUUAAAUACACCUCUUUACUUGAAUAAAAAAGGGGUACAAAUAUGUCAAACAAUAAAAAUGGCAUGAAGCUAAAAGGAGCAAAAUAAUAAUAAGUCAAUGGUAGAAUAAUUAGUAGAACUUCUUCGCGUGUUCACUAUUUCAUUUCUCAAUCUCUUGAAAUAUUUGAUUGAUGGGUAUUUAUAGCCAAUAAAGCAUAUAUAUUCGGUCGUGCAUUUAGCAACAUGUUUUUUGAUUCUUAAGGUGUUAUGUAUAUUAUAUUUCAAGGAGUAUGAUGAUACACACAUACAUCAUAAAUCAUGGAGCUGCUUUUGCAACUCACUUCCUAAAGUUAUUAGUGUAAAAUACACAUUCUUUUUACCAAGAGAUGAAUAGAUAUAUCUCAUAACAACAACGAGAAUUUAAAUUAUCACAAUGCUUUUGAAAUUCCAAGAACAGAAACCUCCGCUUCCACAAUGCACACAUCAUUCACAAGAAAACCAUUGCCUGCCUCGUUUUAGUAACUGAGUUCAACAAAUCUUGGCCAACCCCAUGAGGACCUGAACCAUAUACUUGCUGCGUGAAACAACAAUAAAGAAAGCCUCAAGUUAUUUGUAUUUAGCUAUAAAGCUUAUAGUUGCAGUACUAUUGCAUUAAUUCAUGCACCUGUGAAAUAAGUUUGGGAUAUUAAUUUUUUUAUUUAAUUACUUUUUGCUUCUUUAUGCUUUCCCCGCACUUGAUCCCGGAUUCGCAGUGUGAAGUGCACGUAUAUUUUAAAACCAGGAGUUAUAGUUGAGGAAUCAACCAAUGCCAAGGACAUAGAAACAUGACUGCCGGUUCCACUUUUGAUUCCCUUGGGAUGGAGCUGUAUCUUCCUGAAAAAAUCAACAAGGGUUAAUUUUCAGAUGAGGCAUUUAAUUAGAUGAUACGAGUAAAGAAAUUAACAGAAAGAAUUAGUCAUCCUCAACUUCGGACGUCUACUUGAUCGUAGGCUAAAUCCAAACCUCGUGAAAUUUGGACACCAUUUCAGAAAGUAUAUAUAUACAUAUACCACUUUUGAUCUCUAACAAUGAAUACUUCUGAUUCGUGACGCUUUGCCUCUAACUUUGAAAAGUUCUCGAUCUUCCAAACAUGCUUAUAAAUGGAAGCAGAUGUCAAUUUCGUCAUGGAAAGGCACUCUCCUUUGCAUUUGUUCCUUUCUUUAACCAGUACUUCUGCUCCAAAAACACACGUAUCGUCCACAAGAUAUCCAUUCGAAGCAUCGUUAAAUUCUUCCAGCGGGAUGAAUUGAUCAAAACCCCAUUCAAGCUUCAAUCCAUGAAAACGUCUUUCUUUUCCCAUGGCAUCUACCACAUGAUGAAGUGACCCCAAAUCACGAUUAGCUCUUAGGUAAAUAAUUAAGAACAAAAUAAUCCUGAACACUGUUGAGUAUAAUAAUCAACCUUGAAGAAUCAAGAACUCGUCUUUGUUCUGAUCAAGCACAAAGAGGCGGAAAAUUGGAUAGACUUCCCAGCCAAAGCCAAGCGAACUUGUGUCUGCCAUUUCCAAGUAGAGUGAGAUGUGAUCGUUCACAUUUUUGUUUUCAUUUCCAUUUGGGUAGACAACAAGUUUCCUGAAACCAUCAUGAAUUCAAAAUAACAUAUUAGAUUAUGAAUUAUAAUUUAGUAACAAGGUAAUCUGAAUAUUAAUUCACUAAGUUUUAGGUCAUACCACUUGUGGCCUCCAGCAUCAAAUUCCAAAGAUUCAUAAAUUUCCAAUUCAUUCUCCACAAGAGAUGAAAAUUCCUGUAUUUUGAGUAAGAAAUGAGCCGGUGGUACGUGUGAAAUGGAUCUUGAAAUUGCCGUCAAGAGUAAUUUUAACAUUGAUAAGAAGAUAACAAGCUAAAAAUGUUCAAUUAAUGCACAUAUAUAAACAUACGUAGAGAAGGGAAGCUGAGGAAAGAGUUAGACAACAUACCAACUUGGUCUACAAAGUCAUUUUCCAUUGCAACAAAUCCCUCCAAAUUACAAUAAUUUCUCGAGUAUUAAAACUAGUAUUGAAGACAGAUUUAUUAAGAUAAGAUUUUUCAAGGGUUACAGGUCUCUCAAAAAUAAUAUUUCUUCUUUAAAAUAUCUAAAAGGGACAAUGGCAUAUAUAAAGCACCAAGGUUGAGGGUUUAUACAAUUCAACAUUAAAUUUUCAGAAAGAGUCAGAAUAACUAUUGAUAUUCGCCAAGUUUUGGAAACUGGUGGUUGCAAGAAUGGAAUGGAAAGGGGAAUGCAAGGGGGGGAAGGGAGAUUGAUUCUUUAAUUUGUUUGGUUUGGUCAAGGAAUAUUGAUUUCUUUGCUUGGUUGCAAGAAUGGAUGGUAAGGGGUAAGAAAACAACUACAAUACAAAUGAACAAGAAUAUGUGCCCUCCACUCAAAAAACGUCUAUUUCAACGAACUGAAGCAGUAUUUUAGUUGUUCUAUUUUCUAUUAUCAAAUAUUAUAAAAUUAGCUUCCAAAAUUUAGGCCCGAUUUAGUAUUAUGGUUGAGCAGCACUUAGUGUUCGAUAAAUAUUUAUUAAUCUAAUCUGAAAGUUAAGUUGAUUUUAUUUCACGCUCGUAAAAUAAAAAAACCUAAAAAAAACCUAUUGCGACUGGCAGAAUACAGAGAGAAAAAAAGAGGGGCAACAGUGAAUAAGAUAUCACAGGCUAAACCUAUAAGAAGCAUCCCCAUCUAGUUUCCAUGUGGAGACUUAACAACCAAUUAACCACCAAUUAUCGAGCGGCAACAAUUGAAUUUCUCUGUCAAAUAUUUGGGUACGAUGAGAUUAACUCUUAUUAUAAGAAAUAAAAUUAAAAAAUUGGCAUCCCAAUUUUCUUGCAAGAGUAGCAAUGCUUAUUAGAGUAUAUAUUACAGGGCUUUGGGAAUUCUAAGCGCAGACACCUCUACUUCAGCAAUGCACACUUCGUUCACAAGAAAACCAUUGCUUGCCUUGUUCAAGUAACUGGGUUCAACAAAUUUGUGCCAGCCCCAAUCUUCGAUUGAGUUCCUAAACCAUGUACUGGCUACAGGAACAACAAUAGAAACCUGAAGUUAUCUGUAUUUAGCUACUACGCUUAUUGAUGAACUUCAACACCUGUUAAAGCUUGGGUUAAUAAUAACAAGGGUAAAGUUUUAUGAUUAUGCUUUGACUACACUUGAUCCUGGAUUUGCAGUGUGAAACAAAGGUAUUUUUAAAACCACGAGUUAUAGUUGAGAAGUCAGCCAAAUAUCAGGUACAUAGAAAUAUGACUGCCAGGUCCUUCUCUCUGUCCCUCGGGAUAGAGGCAUACCUUCCUGAAAAAAUCAACAAGGGUAAAGUUUAAGUCUCGGCAUUCAAUUGUACUUAUUUACUAAGAGGUUCCACUUAACAAAUUAUUAAAACAUUAACUUUCAAAUGUGGCAUUUAGUUUAUAUAUAUGAACAGAGAAACAAGUAAAUUUUAGAAAAUCAUUUACAUUAUACAUUCGAAGAAGUGGUCAUAACAUGAGGCCCCUUUUUAACAAGUUGUACCAUUCAAAUUUCUUCUACAUUACCAUUAGAAAUAUAUCGCACAUGUAUAAAUGAACCUUAAGUAUUAGUCAUGUUCUGGUACAGAUGUCUAGAUUUCGGCUAUUAUAUAUUAGAGUUGUGCAUCAUUAUAAAAUGUACAACUUUGAUUAUAGUUCGAAUCGAGGUUUUAUAGACUCUGAACGUCCUGACUUGAGCAUUAAAUCCAGAUAUCAUUCAAUUCUGAAUUGAUCAAAACCUAAUUCAAGCUUCUUUCAUUUCCCAUGGCAUCUAUUACAUGAAGUUGACCAAAUCAUUGAUUAGCUCUUAGUUAAAUAAUUAAAUAAGAACAAAAUAAUCAUAAACAUUGCUGAGUGUAAUAAUUAACCUUGAAGAAUCAAGAACUCGUCUCUCUUCUGAUCAAGCACAAAUAAUAAUCUAAUAUCUAAUUCACUGUUGUGGAUAGUUAUGACCAAUUAAUUAUCUUAUUUUGCAAUAACAUAUUUUUUACGUUCGGCACCGUUUUUCAUGGGCCAUUCUCAUUUUCUUUUUAUAAAUUCAAGUGGAAUAAGUGUUCGGUAGCCCUUCUCGUAAAACCUAAUUGUAAAACAUAGAAUCUGACUUAGCUUUGAUAGUUAUAAAUUAUAAAACAACUUAUACAUGUUUUACUUGUUUUAUAAAACAAAUUGUAAAAUAAAAUAUAAUAAUAUACACGGUUAAUAAAAAUAGCAGAUAGUCUCCAUCUUUAAGACUCUUGACACCCCGUCUAUCUCACUAACCUUAUCUCUUAACUCUCAUCUUCCUUCAUGAUUUACGAACUGCAUCUCGUUCUUCCUUUCUUCUUCUUUUCUUCUUCCUCUGUUUUUUCUACCUUUCCUUCAUAAUUCUUUUCUUUAUUAGCUCGAUCAUUUUUUUCAACAUAUUUCUGGGUUCUUAUACAUUUUAUUUAGUUUUUCUUUGAUAAAAUCACCAAAGAUCUAUAGAGAUUUACACUGAACUUUGCAGAUAUGGGUAUUUGAUUCUUAAUUGUAAGCAAGCAUGUAAUCUUUUUUUUUUGUUUCCCAGAAACGCCAUAUUUAAUCAUUUUAAUUUGAUCAAAUGUUAAAAUGUUGUAAGAAUUCAAUAGAUUUUUUUCUUUUUUGAAAGAAAGGAGAAUUAGAUUUAAUAUUUAUAAAAUUAUUUUUCCUCCUUUUAUAUCCUUUUCGAAUCAAGUGUAUAAGGUAGAAAGAUCGAUCGAAUAGUGAUCAUGUUAACAAAAAAUAAUUAUUUAAAAAAGUUAAAAUUGGAUAUUAUAAUUAUUGUUAUUAUUAUUGCUGUUGUUGUUGUAAGUUGGUAUAUUGAAAAAUAAAUUAGUUUUUAUAUGAAUUUUAAACACAAAUUUAACUUGCAUGAAGUAAAAACCGUUAAUAGAUACCGAACGUGUAUUAUUAAUUUCAUUUUUUAAAUAUAGGAUAUACAAAAUAAUACCAAACACAUAUUUAAAUUAGAAAUAUAAGAACUUCAAAACACCAUUUUCGUUCUCAUUUUUAUUCUAAGAAAAUAUAAAUUUAAAAACCAUACCGAACAUGCUAGCUUCUGAUCUUUUUUUAGUUUAGAAACUACUUCUUUUGAAUUCUUAAAUGUCCAUAUAUGAUAUUUCUUUCAUGUAACAUUAAUUUCUUGCUUGUACUCAAUUUAUCUUAUUAAUGCUUCUCUUUAAUUAAAAACUAAGAGUUUUUAUCACCAUCUCACUUGUUAAUAGUUGAUAGAUAGUAAUUUUAUUCCAGGAUUAAGAUUGUCAGAGAUUUUCUUCCAGGAUUAAGAAUUAUGUCAAUGAACAAAUGUGAUCGCAUAAGUAAGCCAUAAAAUCAAUGAAUUUCUUUAUUUCGUGAGAAACCAAGAAGAAUAAACAUCUCAAUUUUCUUCAUAUUUUGCUCGAAUUACUUGUUAUUACAAUGCCUCGGAGAUUCUGAGCACGUGAUCUCAGCUUCCACCACGCAAAUGUCGUUCACAAGAUACCCAUUCUUUGGGUCAUUUAACUUAAUGAAACGAAUCUUGACCAACCCCACUUAUUAUCGACUGGUGCAUAGAACCAUUUUCUACCUCCUAGAGAAAAGGAAUCAUUUGUUGAACAUGUGCAUGCAUGUGGCAAAUAAUUGCACGUGGCUAGCAUGCAAUUUUUUAACUCUUAGCAUAAAGUUGUUGAGUAAAUGGAAAACAAAGGUAAGUGGAAGGAAUCAACUUUUGACAUUGGCACCAAAUUUGAAAAGUUGGGUGGAAAUUUAUAUUAUUUUAAUGCCCACCAUUGUUGAUUUUUGGGCAUGGCUUGACCUAUCAAUAGAGGCCUCAUUUGCCCUCUUUAUUUAUCUCAUUUUCUCCAAUUCAAGUGAGAGUGCCAAGAGGUGUAAGUUGAGAGUGUUGAGAGCUUUGAGCUGUAGUUCUAGUGUUUUGAGAGUUUGGGUGUAUUGAGAUUUUGGGUUGAGAGAAAAAAUAUUACAAUACUUGUAAUUCCUUUUCACUAGUAAAAUAUUUUCUUUUGUCUUUGUCUGUGGAUGUAGGUUAAAAACUGAACCACGGAAAUUCUGGUGUCCAGGUAUGUUCAUUAUUUCUUAAUUUUACUUUAGUUGCGUGUUUGCUGCACCCGCAAAUUCCCAACAUCAUUCUCAUUAUACAUAUUAUUUGAAUUCUAUAACCUCAAAUUAAGCUGAUUUUUUUUUAGGUUAAAGGUACUUUCAAAAUCAAAGAGUAAAAAAAAAACUGCUUGAAAAUCACUCAAUCAAAUUACCGGUGUCAAUCAUAUAAAAAACAAGCAAUAUACCUUAAGAAGAUUCAUGCAUUGGCGAAUUUGAUCCAAGAUUUGAAAUGUAAACUCUGCGCAUACUUUAACAAUACUCCGAACUGCGGAAUCUCCAAAACCCAAGAACAAGGAAAGAUAAUCGCCAGCACCGGGGCCAGCUCCCAUCGGGUGCAGCUCUAUCUUCCUGAAAAAAACGAAAUGGUAUUUAAUUAAUUGUACACUCACUGACAACUUUGUCUCAAGAACUUAUUAUUUAUUAUACCUGUAUAAAUUAAAAAAAAAUUAAAAUCUUCGAUACCAUUUGUGGUUUCCAGCAUCGAAAACUUGUGAUUCCUCAUAUCCUGCGUCUAACUUUGAAAAGUUCUCGAUCUUCCAAACAUACUUACAACUGCUUGCAAUUUCUUUCAUAGAUAGGCACUCUCCUUUGAAUUUGUUUCUUUCUUUAACAAGCACUUCAGCGUCAAAAACACACGUAUCUUCGACAAGGUAUCCAUUUGAAGCAUCAUUGAAAGCUCUAAGCGGGAUGAAUUUAUCAAAACCCCAUACAUGCUUCAGUCCAUUAAACCGUCUUUCCUUUCCCAUGCAAUCUAUCACAUUAAAAGCAACCACUGAUUAUGCAUGCAUUCAAUUUCUUUCCUAAAGAUUCGAGCAAAAUUUUUGCUUUCAAUAUACAAUUCUGGACAUUAAAUUUGAUUUAACCUUGAACUACAAAGUAGUUGUCUUGGUUCUAAUCAAGUAAGAACAGACAAAAACUGCAGAGACUUCCCAAUCCAAAGUAAAUGAACUUGUGCCUGCAAUUGCUAAGUAGAGUGAGAUGUAGUCUUUCACAUUCUUGCUCUAAUUUCCAUUUGGGUACAGAACAAGUUCCUUGUAAUAAUUAAUCGACAUUAAUAAAUAAUACACUAACAUGAUAAUUAAAUUUAAUUACGUCAAUUAAGGACACACACACACGCACACACAUACAUACAUACAUACCACUUGUAGCCUCCAACUUCAAAUUCUCCUGAUUCAUAUUCCUCUUCUGCUUUUUCCGCAAGUAAUGAAAAUGAUUUUAUUUGGACAAUGUAAUGAGCCGGUGGCGCUUUUGAAGUGGAUCUUUCACUAGCUAUUAAAGUAAUUUUAUACACCGAUUGAUUAAUUAGGAAAUAAAAUAAGCAGCUGAAGAUUUUAUGUAUAUUAAUUUGACCAAGAAGAGAAGGAGAGAGAACAGACAUUCCACGGAAAAAAACUCUUCCAAAUAAUUGUCGAAUGCACAUUCUGCCUCGUGGGAAGGACAAUGUAAUGAGCCGGUGGCGCUUUUGAAGUGGAUCUUUCACUAGCUAUUAAAGUAAUUUUAUACACCGAUUGAUUAAUUAGGAAAUAAAAUAAGAAGCUGAAGAUUUUAUCUAUAUUAAUUUGACCAAGAAGAGAAGGAGAGAGAACAGACAUUCCACGGAAAAAAAUUCUUCCAAAUAAUUGUCGAAUGCACAUUCUGCCUCGUGGGAAUUCUCGGACGGCGUUUCGCGACCGAAACGGCAGCGUUUCGAGGCAGCUGUCUUUUGAGGGUGGUUCAUGCUAAGUCCGAUGAUGGCUUCAGGAAUGCUCCGCUUGAUACAACUUAGUAGCUAAUAACUUUGUCCAAAUCCCAAAUAAAUAAGAGAAAUAAAUUUAAAUCCAAAUAAAAAUGGAAUUACAAAAACUGACUAAAAAACAAAGGCUAAAUAGGGUAAAUCCUGAUAAAAUAUGAAAAACUGCUUUUAACUAAUAAAAUUCGUAAGUAUCUCAUUUAAAUGUUACAAAUGAUCAAUAAAAUCUCACCCUUAAAAGUUGUGUGCCUUGCCCGCACUUGAUCCAAAAUAUAGAGUCCAAGUUUUGCAUAUACUUUUAACAGUCGAAUAUACCAAAAUCGAGAACAGCAGAUCAGCUUUUUCUUCAUGAAGAAUAUUAGCUUUUUUGCAUUUAUUUUCAUUACAAUAAGUUUCUUGCAACCACCAUGAAUUCAAUGAGAUAUUAGACGGCCGUAGUUCAGUAAUAAGAAAAUCUGAAUAUUAAAUGAAUUAGUCUGACUAUUGAUAUUCAUCAAAUUUCUGAAACUGGGUCAACAAUUUGCUUUUCAUUGUAAUCCAGCGAAGGAAAAAAAAAGUAAUAAUAAAUAAAGUUUGGUAGAUAAAUCAAAAGAAAAUCAUAUAAUAAUAUUCCAUGUGAUUGGAUUAAUUGUUUCAGUUGGUUUCACUGCCUUCGAUUUCUCUCUUACAUCCCAAUUUUCUUUGUACCAAUCACUUCUUUCUUUUUGGAAAUCAAAAUCUUAGAAGAAAGAAGAAUUACUGCCAAGAGCAUAUAAUAAAUCUUCACGUUCAUAGAUGCAUAAAAUUAGAUCACCAAAAUCACACUAAAAGUUAACUGGACAACUGAAACAAUAAGCAACAUAGCUAUAAUUUGGAAAUCCAGGAGAGAAAUAAUUUUCUUGCAAGCUAAAAUAAAUUUCCUAGAUUAGCCAGGAUGGCAGUCAGCAUCACACAAUAAAAGAACCCAAUUGGACGACAAGUAACUACUUGUUAUAUUGGCUCGGAAAUCCCAAGCACAGUGACCUCAGCCUCCACCACGCAAACGUCAUUCACUAGGAACCCAGUCUCUGGAUCAUUUAACUCACUCAAUGAAACGAAUCUUGGGCAGCCCCAGCUAGACUUUGGUGUAUGGAACCAGAAUUUAUCUGCUAGAGUAAAAGGAGCGCUCUCGUAAUAUUAUUUGGAUUUGCCUUCAAUUAAUUAAGCUGACUUACUAAUUGCAUGUAAAGACACACAUUUUACCUUGAAAAGAUUCAUGCUUUGCCCCAGUUGAUCCCAGAUUCGCAAUGUGAACUCUGCAUAAACUUGAACAUUCUCAACUGUGAAAUUUUCCAAAAUCAAAAACAUGGAAAGAUGAUCGGCAGCACCAAUGUCAAUUCCCGCGGGGUGGAGCUCUAUCUUCCUGAAAACAAUGAUUUGGAACUUAGUUGUAGAUUCACUAAAUACCUUGCCUCAAGAAGGUAUUUACAUAUAUAUUCUGAUUUGGAAAAAGAAAAAAAUUGAAGCUUAGAUACCAUUUGUGAUUUCCGGCACCGAACGCUUGUGAUUCCUUAUAUCCUGCGCCUAAUUUUGAAAAGUUGUCGAUCUUCCAUACAUACUUAGAACUAUAUGCAUAUUUUUCCAUGGAUAGGCACUCUCCUUUGACUCUGCUUCUUUCUUUAACAAAGACUUCAGCUCCAAAAACACAUGUAUCCUUGACAAGGUAUCCAUUUGUAGAAUCGUUGAAAGCUUCAAGUGGGAUGAACUGAUCCAAACCCCACUGAAGCUUCAACCCAUUAAACCGUCUUUCCUUUCCCAGGGCAUCUAUCACAUUACAACCGACCACUGAUUAUGCAAUUCUUUAUCUAAAAGACUAGAACAAAUUUUUGCUGCAGUAUUUUCUGUAUUUAAUUUGUAAAAUACUGACGACCACACUAGAUAAGUUUAUAAACAUAUCAUAUCGUCAAAAUUGUAAAAUGUACGUAGAUCAUUAGAAAAUAUGAUCAAGAUUAACAUUUCGAAAGUAGAAUAUAAUAUAACCUUGAACUACCAAGUAGAUAUCUUGGUUCUGAUCAAGUAAAAACAAACGAAAAACUGCAUAGACUUCCCAACCAAAAGUAAGUGAACAUGUAUCUGCCAUUUCUAGGUAGAGGGAAAUGUGAUCUUUCACAUUCUUGCUCUCUUGGGGUAUAUAACAAGUUUCCUGCAAUAAUUAAUUAAUCAACAUAAAUACACUAAUAAAUGAUACUACCAAGCAAAGACUAUCAUUCAAAAGUUAGGUUCAAAUCGUGAUCACAUUAGGGUUGGGGAGUUGUUGUUUUUUUUUUUUUUAAUCAUUAUAGUCUAACGGCAGCCCAAUUUUCUUGUCAUCUUUGAAAAGUGAUUUUGAACCCGGGAUCUGAUGUUUCACCACAAAAGAUUUUACCAAUUUAACUAAAUAACACUCAGCCCGUAGGUUGAGGUGUCGUUUGAUUAUUAAUAUCAAGAUGGAAUAAUAAUAAUAAUAAUAAUAAUAAUAAUAAUAAUAAUAAUAAUAAUAAUAAUAAUAAUAAUAAUAAUAAUAAUAAUAAUAAUAAUAAUAAUAAUAAUAAUAAUAAUAAUAAUAAUAAUAAUAAUAAUAAUAAUAAUAAUAAUAAUAAUAAUAAUAAUAAUAAUAAUAAUAAUAAUAAUAAUAAUAAUAAUAAUAACGAUAAUAACAAAAGAAAAGGUGGUGGCAUAAGUUAUUUAAUUUACUGCAAUAAAGGAACUAUAUAUAUAUAGAUAUAUAUGCACACGCACGCACGCACCACUUGUAGCCUCCAGCUUCAAAUGCUCCUGAUUCGUACUUCUUAUGAACUGCUUUUUGGGCAAGUAAUGAAAAUGAUUUUAUUCUUAAGCUAAAAAUGUACAAGAAUAUUGAAAAAUAUGAUAUUAUUUAAUCCUAAUUAAUCAAUAUACAUACACUAAUACCGUAACAGUAGUGGUUCAAGAGGUUCGGGUUCGAAUUCGGAUUACACUAGGGUCGAGGAGUUGCUUGAUUUAUAUCGCAAAAUGGGAAAAAUAAUAAUAAUAAUAGAAAUAAUAAAGAAAGGAAUGGUGGUGCCUUGAGUUAUUUAAUAUACGGCAGUCAAGAAAAUAAAUAUACGUAUCACUUGUAGCCUCCGGCUUCAAAGAAACUGUCCAUCUCUGUUAACAAGUUCUCCAAAGAAUUGUUGAUUUUUAUUGAUUAGAAAUAAAAUAAAUUAAAUUCUAUCCAAACUGAAAUUACAAAAACGACUGAAAUACGACCAGUUUGACUGAUUAUAAUUUCUAAUUGAAUUUUACCAAAACAGAACCAUGAUUAAUUGCGUACACCUUGCAUAUUAACAAUCAAAAGACCUCUAUGUUUGAUGAAAAUUUGGCAUGUGGAAAGUGUCAAUGUAGGAGCAAUGAUACCACUACCAGAAAAGAACAUAACCUUCCUCCCUAGUAUAUAAAUGUCAAACGAUUACAAGACUGCUAGCUAACUCUUAAAAGGUACUGAAGUCCAAAACAGAGCCACGAUUAUCAGUUGCUCAUUUACUGCAUUGACAAAUGAAUAGAAGCAUUAAUUUGAUCAUCAUCAUUAGUUCUGAAACGAAUUGGCUGACAAAAGGGAAACUAAAUUCUGCUUGGGCAAUGUGAAAAUACGACAAAGCAUACUAAAAUCAUGUGACGUGGGACCCGAAAACUUAUAACCACAACCCCGAAACAAAGUCUCAGAAAUUUAUAAAAAAAAUGAUACUACCAACCAUACUAAAAUCAUGUGACGUGGGUCGUCAAUCCUUGGUUCUUUUACUUUUUUAUUUUUUUAUUUUUUUCCAUUGACUUCAGAACUUUUUUUACUCCUCUCUGUGGCGGCACUUUACACUCGUCACUACUAGAAAAAUAGGUUAUUAUGACAGAAUUUUUGUGAGAUAUUUAAAAAUUAAUCAUUUAUCACAAAAAUAAGAUAGAUUCGUGAUAGAAUUUUUAUGUAUCAUAAAGACGUGAUAGAUUUGUAAUAGCUUAUUUAUCUAUCACAUACACAUGAUCGCAUAUUAAUAUUUAAUGAAACGGUGAGUUUUGAAUGGAUUAAUUUAGGCAUAGAAUGACAACGUAUCUUGAAACCACAAAAAAAAAACAAAAAACCAUAAGUGGUAGACUCUCCUUUGACUUCAAAUGGCAAACCCUAAUUUCUAAAUCACACACAAAAACAAAAUCACGUUGCUGACAAAAAAUUUGGUCCUCUACUGCGCUGCUUGCCGACAACAAAUUGCUACUCUUCGUCUUCGUCUUCGUCUUCGUCUUUGUUAAGGAAGCUCAUUUGAGCAAAAUGGUCAGCAAAGCAGAGGAUUGUAACAGUUGCAGUUCACAGUUACAAGUUGAUGACUUGGGAUGCCAGCUGGCACCUGGUGGUUAUAUAGUUUCUUGUACACGUGAAUAUUAGUUUUAGUUUUGUUAUAGUAGCUAUUAAGUAUGUUUAGCAUGUUUAGUUAGCUAAGCAAAAUUAGUUGUGUGUACAGCAGCUUAUUAUAAGAAAUAAAAUUAAAAAAUUGGCACAGCUAGGUCUUUACUUCCUCUUUUUCUUAUAUUAUAUUCUUUUGAUUUGAUUUGAUUUGAUUUUUCUGUGAUCUAUACGCCAUUUAUUUUGAUCGAUCUGAUUGCUAUUCUAUGAUGUUGUUUAUUUUUUGGUGAACCACUAGCUUUCAAUUGAUUUUGAUUUAUUUGCUAGAUCUAGGGUUUUGUAUUGGCUUAUUAGUUUAGUAGUUAUGUAUCGACAUGUUUUUUCCUUUAAUUUUGAUUUUUUUUACUUCUCUCAUUCUAAUUUAGAUAAUUUUAGGGUUAUGCUUGAAUUAAUUAUUCUUUUAAUCAACUUAGGGUUGGAUUUAAUUGAUUCUAAGUCUCAUCUCUGUUCCCAUUCAAAAAAUAAGUACGCACAAAUAGUUUUCAUUUUAUUCUCAGUCAUUGCCAUGUGAUAAUUUUGUUUCUUUGAAUUAAUUUAUUUAAUCUUCGGUUAAUACACUUCUCUUUGAAUUAAUUUUGUUUGUUUGAAUUAAUCAUGGCCAUGUGAUGGAGUUCAUUUAUCAUUGGGAAGAAAAAAGUAGAUGAGAAGGAAUAUCAUGUUCAAGAGAUUAAGGACAACAUGCUGGACUAAUUAUCGAUUAUUUUAAAAUUAUGUUUUGGCUUAAACUACCCAUGUCACUAGCAUUAUUUCAAAAUCUGAAUAACCUCAUCUCUUUCUCAGACUGAAAGGCUAGCAUAGCAUUGGGCUGUUGCCUUUACUAAUUGAGAAGUGAAGUUCUAAACAGUGGCUCUAUACUGGAAACUUGGUUUCAUCUGCGUUAAUACUUUUGGUAAUUUCAGAACAAGAACUGGAAUCUAAAUAAGUAGUAGAAAUUUUUUUAUGUAAUUCUCAAGAUUUUUGAUAUCCUGAAUUUAUGGAUUAGUUAGAUAUCUAAUUUCUUCACUUUUUAAAGUGGAAAUUACUAGUUGCUUGAUGAGUAUGAUAAGUUUACUGCAAAAUACUUGUCUAGGACGCCCUCUGCUAUGAUGGGCUCUAAUGUGUUGAUUUCUCUGAUUUCUGCCCUGGAAGAAACUUUCCAUUUCUCUAAUUUAUGUUGUUUUUUUUUUAACCAUUGUUGCUAUUUUAACUGCUAGCUUUUUUUUUUAUUGAAUUUAACUGCUGUUGGUUUUUUUUAUGGGUUGAUUAUGUAAUUUUAUUAGUUGUUCUUACAGUUACAAACAAUAUUAAUCCAAAUGUGCAUGAUUAUAUAUAUAUAUAUAUAGUUUGCAUUAAUAUUAAUGGAAUAAAGAUUGAAAAAGAUCAUAAGUAACCAUACCACACAAGUUGAGAUUGUGUGGAUAUUAUAUCUUCAAAAUACACACCCAACUAGCUCUGGUGAGCUCUGGAGACUUUAAACUCGUUAUUUGAAGCGUUUUGCUAAUAUCAUUCAUUUGGAUUAGUUGCAAAUAAAAUUCAUUGUUUCUAAUUAGUAGCUAAAUAAAUUCACUAUCCAUGAUGGAAUUCUCCUACAAUUUUAGGAUUAACAAAGAAGAAUCAUAUAAAAAAUUAUAAUAAUGAAGGAGCAAAAUAAGAUAUGGCCUGGGAAUUUGUUUAUGCCAGUAUAGCAAACGCCACAUAUAACUUCUUAAGUUACAAUAAACUAGGAGAAGGUAGAUUUGGGCCAGUGUACAAGUAGGGAUGGCAAUGGGGAGGGGAGGGGAGGGGAGGGGACCAAUCUCCCCGUACCCAUCCCUGAUAUUUUGUGUAUGUCCUCGUCCUCUCCCCGUUCCCGUCAUAAUUACUUGAGAGAAUCUCCACCCCCUCCCCGAAUAAUAACAGGGGAUCCCCGAGGGUCUCCGAUCCCCGAAUAACUAAUACAUUUUUGUUUUCGAUUUUGAGUUAAUCAUAUUAAAAUAAAAAAAUUCAAAUAAAAGUAAAGUUUGAAAUAUAUCUUACAUUAAUAUCCAUUAGAAAAGUCACAUACAUUAAAUUAGUAAGUAACGCAGCGUGUAAGGGAUACAAACUUAUUUUAUAAACUAUCGUGAAUAAAUUAAUAGUCUAAUACAAAAUGGUUACAAAUAAAAUCGAAUUUAGAUUCAAAAUUAACUUUUUCAAUGGUGGCGUGGGCACUUUAUAAAUGUGGACUAUUCCUUUUACAACACAAUAGUUAAGUCGGAGCAAAUCAAGAGCAAAUAUUAGAUUAGAUAUUAAAAUUGUGAUUCCCUGUGGGCAAUUAUAACAUCUAAAAAUAAAUAAAAAAUAGAUUUAAGUUUAAAACAUUUAAUGAAUAUUAAAAUAAAAAUAAAAUUUUUGGGCUAAUAGAAUUUACCCGGUUUUUUUAAUGUGCUAAAUAAAAAUUUAGGAUUUUAAUUAGUUAAUUAGGCCUAAAAGUUUAAUAAUAUAAAUAUUUUGAUAUUUUUUAUUUUUACCAAUAUUUAAAAUUUUAUAAUUCAAAUUUUAUUAUUUAUUUACUAGUAAUUUUAAAAAAUAAAAAUUAAAAUUAAAAUUAAAAUGGGGAAAUGGGUAGGGGAUGGGGAUUCUACCUCAUCCCCAUCCCCUCCCCGAAUAAGAAAUUGGGUAAAAAAAUUUCCCCGUCCCUUCCCCGAAUAAGAAAUUGGGUAUGAAAUUAUCCUCAUACCCUCCCCGAAUGGGGAAAAUUCCCGAGGGUACCCGUCCCCGUGGGGAUUUUUGCCAUCCCUAGUUUUAUUUUACUAAAACACAAAAUAUGAUUUUUUUUAUUAAAAAGAAAUUCAUAGUUAAUUUAUCUCCUUAAUAGAGUCUUGUUUUUGUGGAAGUAGUAAUGGAUGUAACCAUUAUUAAAUAACUUUUCAAAAUUAUAACAAUUAUAGACCUUAUCAUAAGAAAUCAAUAAGUGAAUAUUAUACAAACAUAAUUAGUAUGAAGUUGAAUCAAUAUUGAUGAUGGACCGGAAAUUCAAAUCCAAAAUCUUCACUAAUUUGGCUUAGUAACUUUCUUGUUCAAGUUUAAUAAUUUUUGUGAAACUGCUCCUAAAAUUAGGGAGAGCAAAGUGAUAUAUAUAUUUGAUGGACAAUAUAAAUGCCAUGUAUCACCUCUACCCCAUUUGAUUUUUAUAUGAGUUAAUUUAUUUAAACUUAAAGUUCAACAAGAUUAUUGUACAACGUGCAUUGUUGAUCAAUUAAUUGAUAAGCUCACUGACAUAGAGAAUUAAAAAAAAUUACCACUAAUAUGGGUUGAUGUCCUUGAAGGAUGAAAUGGUGAUACAAAAUAAAUACACAAAUGCCUGAAGCUUGCAUGUAAUAGAUCAAAUAGUAAAAAAUAAUUUAAAUCUUGAGAAAAUGACAAAAUCUUUUAAAAUAAUUCGGCGCUCCUAAAGAGACUAUGUUUGUAUAUAGAAACACAUUUGAUCUAUAGUUAGAUUAUUGAAUAUACUGCCCUAGAAAGGCAUACCAACUAAUAAAUGAAUCUCAAAUACUCUGAAAAAGGUAGAUACUAAGAAACAAAGAGAUUGAAAUUGUCCUAUAAAAGAUGCUCAUGUAUAUUAAAAAAGAGAGAUCUUCAGUUCUUGCAGAGAUAUAUGUAUUAGAAAUUUCGAAAGAUCUCAAUUGUGCAUAUAUAUUGAAAAUGAGAAAUAUUUAAUAAAUGUUGGUACUUGGUGCAAGAGAAAAAAUUGAAAUUGACAUUAAAUAUUUGUCAAUAAAAUAUAGUUGUUAUGAUAAAAAAUUUUUAGAAUUCUAAAUUAUAAAAUGUAUAGAUCAUCAAAUUAUAUGAUUGGCCAAAAUUGUAAAAUAUUUAGAUUUGUAGUCCAUACACUAAAUGACGUAAAAUUAAUUAGUAAAAUUUUAUGAAUUUUGGACUUGUAGUCCAUACACCUAAAGUCAUAAAAUUUAUUAAUAAAAUGUAAAUCUGAACUGUAGUAUGUCAAAAUUAAAUUGAAGAAUUUAUCUAAAAUUCGCAAUGAAUAGUCUGCAUAUACUUUAACAGCCUCAACUGCGGAAUCUGCCAAAGCCAAGAACAGAGAAAGAUGAUCGCCAUCACCAAAGCCAUUUCCCAUGGGAUAGAGCCGUAUCUUCCUGAAAAGAAUUUUAUGGAAUUUAAUUGUUCAUUCACUAAAAACUUUGUCCCAAGAACGUAUUUACAUCUAUAAUCUGAUUUAAAAAAAAAAUUUGAAUCUUUGAUACCAUUUGUGAUUUCCAGCACUGAACACUUGUGAUUCCUGACGUCCUUCGCCCAACUUUGAAAAGUUUUCAACCUUCCAAACAUACUUAGAACUAUAUGCAUAUUUUUCCAUGGAUAGGCACUCUCCUUUGACUAUGUUUCUUUCUUUAACAAAGACUUCAGCUCCAAAAAUACAUGUAUCCUCGACAAGGUAUCCAUUUGAAGCAUCGUUGAAAGCUUUAAGCGGGAUGAACUGAUCAAAACCCCAUUCAAGCUUCAAUCCAUUAAACCUUCUUUCCUUUCCCAUGGCAUCUAUCACAUUACAAGCGACCACCGAUUAUGCAAUUGCUUAUCUAAAAGACUAGAACGAGCUUCUGCUGCAAUAUUUUCUGUAAAACUUUAUAUGUACCAGCUAGACUGUAUUUAAUUUGUGAAAUACUGAUGAUCGCACUAGAUAAAAUUUAUAAACAUACGAUAUCGUCAAAAUUGUCAAACAUAGAUCAUUGGAAAAUAUGAUCAAGGUUAGCAUUUCAAAAGUAGAAUAUAAUAUAACCUUGAACCACCAAGUAGUUGUCUUGGUUCUGAUCAAGUAAAAAUAAACGAAAAACUGCAUAGACUUCCCAACCAAGAGUAACCGAACUUGUGUCUGCCACUGCUAAGUAGAGUGAAAUGUGGUCUUGCACAUUCUUGCUCUUAUUUCCAUUUGGAUAUAGAACAAGUUUCCUGCAAUAAUUAAUUGAUCAACAUAAAUACACUAAUUUAUGAUAUUACCAAGCAAAGACUAUGGUUCAAGAGUUAGGUUUGAAUCCUGAUCACAUUAGGGAUGAGGGUUGAGUUGUAGCAUUUUUCUUAUUAUUACUAUAGCUUAAUGGCAACCCAAUUCUCUCCCAUCUUUGUAAAGUAGGUUCGAACCCCAGAUCUCAUGUUUCGGCACAAGAGAUUUUACCCAAUUGAACUAAACGACACUCAACCCACAAGUUGAGGAGUUGUUUGAUUAUAUAUCAAGAUGAAAUAAUAAUAAUGAUGAUGAUAAUAACAAAAGAAAAGGUAGUGGCGUAAGUUAUUUCAUUUACAGCAAUAAAGGAAAAAAAAACUUAUAUAUGUAUAUAUAUACCACUUGUAGCCUCCAGCUUCAAAUGCUCCUGAUUCGUAUUUCUCAUCAACUGCUUUCUCCGCAAGUACUGAAAAUGAUUUUAUUUUGACAAUGUAAUGAGCCGGUGGUACAUGUGAAGUGGAUCUUGCAAUGGCUAUACAUUCAAGUAAUUUUAAUUAACACCCACUGAUUAUAAAUAAAAUAAACUGAAUAUUUUAAGAAUGUUGACCAAAAGAACAUGAAAGGUUUGAACAUACAUACCAUCUUUGUCAACAAAGACACUGUCCAUCUUUGUUAAAUUGUUCAUUUUUUUUUCUUUUUUGGUAAUUAAACUGAAGCCGGAGGCUGUAGACGCUACUUGGACGGUACUGUUUUUGUUGGCAAGGGCAAGGCACAAGGCUCUGCUACCGAUCCUAGGGAAAAAAAUGGACUAUUAUUUAUUAGGGUAACUUUUUUUUUUUUUUUGAAGAUAAGGUAACUUAAAAUUUACUUAAUUAUAUCCUAAAAAAUUAAGAAAAUAAAUUAAAUCCUAACUAAACUGAAAUUACAAAACAGCUCAAAUACGACCAAUUUGACUGAUUAUAAUUUCUAAUAUAAUUUUACCAAAAUAGAAUGAUGACUACUUGCCCCUUGCAUAUUAACAAUGAAAAAGAUCUCUUUGUUUGAUGAAAAUUUGGCAUGAAUUGAAAUUCAAACAUGGGAAAAGUGUUAAUGUAGAAGCGAUGAUACCAGAACAGAACAUAACCGUCCUCCCUAGCAUAUAAUGUCAAACAACAACUACAAAGACAGCUAGCUAGCUCUUCAAAGGUACUGAAGUCCAAAACAUAGCCAUAAUUACUAGUAGCUCACUUAUUGCUAGGGAUGGCAAUGGGCGGGCUCGGGGUGGAGAUCAUGAACCCCAAACCCAAACUGGUAGCAAUCUCCGUACCAUAACCAAAAAACUUUAACUGGGGAUAUCCCUGAUAAUCCCAUUUAUUUAUUUUUUAAAAAAUUGAUAAUUUUGAAUAUUCGGGUCCUUCAAAAAAAAUUAAUUAUUUUGCAUACAUAGCUUUGAAAAAAAAUUAAAAAUGAGCAAAUUAAUAGCGCAAACAACAUUUCAAACGAACGAAUUCAGCUAUCAAGCAUACCCGUAAUUAAUAACAAGAUUAUUUCAACACAAAACGAAUUGAUAAUCAUCCAUCAAGCAUAUCCGUAAUAAUAAAUCCAAUAUCACUGAACAAACUUGUACAAUAAUACCACUUAGUAAUAUUCAACCAAGUUUCAAAGAAUACGGCCUCGUCGCAAGUAAAGGCGCUAAUUUCUAAAAUUACCUUGACUGAUCAAAUGGCAGCUAAGGCGGUGACGGGUGGUUGAGUCCGGUGAGAAAUGAGAGCGCCGGCGAGAAAGGGUUAGCGGCUUGCGGUAAUGCUUGGUCUUUAGGCUAGAGAGGAAAGCGAUGUUAACGGCGCAAUCUUGGACUUUUGGUGUUGGACGCGACGGCCGGAAAGGGGAAGCUCCGUUGACCGUUGGAGACUUGGAGGUGGCGAUGUCUAGCGUUUUGAGAGUGGUGGGUUUCGGUCUGGGUUUUAGACUUUUAGUUUUGUGAUGCCUUUUUUUAUUAUUUGAUUAAACUUAUUCGGAAAGUGCGUCGAGUAAUUUUUUUAUUAAAUUAAAUAUUUUUAAUCGUGUGAAUUCAAAAUAUAUUUUACUUUUAAAAUAAAAAAAUUUGGGUUUCGAAUUCUUGAACCCAAAUGCAAAAUACAUUUGAGACUUGGACUUACUUUUGAAACAGAUCCGUUUUCAGUUUUAAAGCGGUUUGGGUUCAUAUCUGACCCGAAUUAAUCUAAACCAUCCCUACUUAAUACUUUCUUCGUUUCAACUACAUUUUUUUUUUUUUAAAUAUCAAAAUCUUAGAAGAAAAAAGAGGUAAAAGCCCAUUCAAUCUCUAUAUUUUAAAAUUAGUAUUCAUUUAGGCCCUAUAUUUUUUAAAAUAUCUCGAAACAUCCUUACCGUUAAAAUAUUGAUACCCAUACCGUUCCUUUUUAUUUCUUUUAGCUUACUUUUACAAUAUUACCCUUUUAUAAUAAUUUUUUUAUUUGAACAUUAAUAAAAAAUAAUUAAAUUAUCAAUUUAACUAAAAAAAUUAUAUUAAUUUUUAAUUGUCAAAAAUUGUAUGCAAAUUACCAAGCGUGCAAAUGGUACUUGCAAAAAAAUUAAUAUAAUUUUUUUUUUAUUUUUAAGGUUAAAUUAGUAAUUUAAUUAUUAUUUUUUAUUAAUAUCCAAACAAAAAAAUUAUUAUAAAAGGGUAAUAUUGUAAAAAUAAACCAAAAGAAAUAAAAAGUAACAAUAGGGGUAUCAAUACUUUAACGACAAAGAUGUUUCGAGGCAUUUUAAAAAUAUAAGGACUAAAUGGACACUAAUCUUAAAAUACGGGGACUAAAUGAACUUUUACCCAUAAAAGAAUUAGAGUAGGGGAUAUAAGGAAUUUCUCCCUAAAGAGAUGCAGAGAAAUAGAACACCAAAAUAACACUAAAAAGUUAGCUUGACAGCAUAAACAAUAAGCAAUGUAAGAGUUAUUUUGGAAAACCACAAGAGAAAUAAAUUUCCUGAUAGCUAAAAUAAAUUUCCUAGAUUAGCCAGGCAGUCAGCAUCAUACAAUAAAAGAACCCAUUUGGAAGACAAUUAAUUACUUGCUAUAAUGGCUCGGAAAUUCCGAGCACAGUGACCUCAGCUUCCACCACGCAAACGCCAUUCACUAGAAAUCUAGUCUCUGGCUCAUCUAACUCACCCAAUGAAACGAAUCUUGGCCGGCCCCAGUUAUCGCUUGGUGUAUGGAACCAGUCUUUAUUCUCUGCUAGAGUAAAAGGAACAUUCUCGUUAUAUUAAUGGGACUUGCCUCAAAAACUAAUUGCAGGUAAACACAGACAUUUUACCUUGAAAAGAUUUAUGUUUUGCCCCCACUUGAUCUAUGAUUCGCAAUGUAUGCUCUACAUAUAUGCUUUAGUCGCCUCGACUGCGGAAUCUCCCAAAGCCAAGUACAGAGAAAGAUGAUCGCCAUCACCACAGCCGUUUACAAUCUGGAGGAAUGUGCUUCACAAACAAAGAAACAAACAGACACUACCAGAAGCAACUAUGCAGUUACUGGUUCAGAAACACAAAACCUAGAGUCACUGAAAAUGGAUAGAACAAUUACUAUCUUUGAGUAAAGAAGCAAAACAACUAAAACCUAGCUUUGCCAGCUUUUGCGGCACGCAGCCCUUCAGUAAUUAGUGCAUCAAGCUACAGGUCCAUAACUCGCGUGUAUGAAUUUGAAAUUUAGGAGUCCAAUAAUGCAAGCGGUUUGAGUGAGAUAUUAUAACUGAAUUAUUGGCAAUUAAAACUUCAGGAAGUAACGGGUGUCUGAUAAGCUUCUACCUUCACAUUUGCAGCAACCACUGCCUAAUGUCCUUUUGUAGGACUCCAUCAAACCCAUUUCUAUUGUAGUUCAAACUCAACUGAUCAGAUCCAUUUGUCUGAAGAUGCCUAUACUGGGUUAUGGUUCCCGCAGGCCUUGGAUGCCGCAUCAUCAUGGCAAUGGUAGAAAAGGGUAGUUUAGGCCAUAUAUUUUUUGAUGAGCUAAACAGAUGUAAAUCAGAUUCCUUGUUUCUGGAUGUUUGGACUCCAGGAGUUUUUGGAUUGGAAGACUUCAUUCCAUGGUUGGUCAUGUUCAUGCUGGGGCCAUGUGGCAGUUUCUCAGGGGGACCAUGUAUCUGGGCAGAUGGUUUCAUACGGUCAAGCCAACGUAGAAUCCAGUUACCAACAUUUCUACCAACUUCUAUGUCCCUCUGUUGUAUGUUCCUAUGAAACUUGAGAGCAAUAUCAAAGGCAGCACGUACUCAGCUGUGGAAAAAAUCAAUGAAGAAUGAAGGUCAGUCUUCAAAAACAAUGGCAGUUCCAAGUUGGAGUAAUAAAUUUGUUAUUAUGCAAAACAAUUGUAGAAAUAACAGUAUUUGCCAGCUAGUAAUUGACAUAACAGCAGUAGUUAAACAGUAGAAUGGAAUCCAAUGAGCCAACCAGAGGGAAGAAUGCAAAGCUCGGGCAGUACCGUGGUCAGUAUCACACUGAGACUCUAACAGUGGAGGAUGUCCAAUUAUUGGUUUCAUAAUGCAUACUAAAUCAAUUCAAAGUCCAAAGUAUAGAAACAAUUAACUAAUUUAGGAUUUCAAUUUUAUGCAGAGGGUUUCAUGAAUAAUUACAACUGGAUCGGAAAGAUUCUGGAGCAAAAAAAUGUGCCCUGGUAAAUUACUGUCAUGAAGUAAAUAACAUCCUACAAAUAAACAUCAAAAUAUAACGGCUCAUUAAAAAGAAAAGCACAGAAGAACUUUCAAUCUAUCAUUUCAAAACAGUCUCUUUGAACUAAACAAGAGUACAGCUAUGACCUCCAGCUUUGGACGUUAGUACUUGUGCUUCUCCAAAAUCUUCACAUCACCUAAAGAGAGACAGCAAAGGUUUCUCAGGGGGACCACGUAUAUGAGCAGAUGGUUUCAUUUAGUCAAGCCAACGUAGAAUCCAGCAUUUCUACCAACUUCUAUGUCCCUCUCAUGUAUGUUCCUGUGAAACUUGAGAGCAACAUCAAAGGCAGCACGUACUCGGCUGUGGAAAAAAUCAAUGAAGAAUGAAGGUCAGUCUUCAAAAAACAAUGGCAGUUCCAAGUUGGAGGAGUAAUAAAUUUGUUAUUAUUCAAAACAAUUGUAGAAAUAACAGUAUUUGCCAGCUAGUAACUGACAUAACAGCAGUAGUUAAACAGUAGAAUGGAAUCCAAUGAGCCAACCAUUGGGAAGAAUGCAAUGCUCAGGCAGUACCGUGGUCAAUAUCACACUGAGACUCUAAGAGUGGAGGAUGUGCAAUUAUUGGUUUCAUGAGGCAUACUAAAUCAAUUCAAAGUCCAAAGUAUUGAAACAAUUAAUUAAUUUAGGAUUUCCGUUUUAUGCAGAGGCUUUCAUGAAUAAUUACAACUAGAUCAGAAGGAUUCUGGAAAAAAGAUAUGUGCCCUGGUAACUUACUUUCAUGAAGUUAAUAACGUCCUACUAAUAAACAUCAAAAUACAACGGCUCAUUAAAAAGAAAAGCACAGAAGAACUUUCAAUCUAUCAUUUCAAAACAGUCUCUUUGAACUAAACAAGAGUACAGCUAUGACCUCCAGCUUUGGACGUUAGUACUUGUGCUUCUCCAAAAUCUUCACAUCACCUAAAGAGAGACAGCAGUUUAAGAAUUUGCUCAUAAUAAUGAAAUUAGUUCUGGUAUCCGAGCAUUGUAGCUUGAUUGGAUAAUAAGUUCACAGGAAUACAUAUGAGACUCUCUAACUGCUUCACCUACAGGUACUACAAGAAGCUGGCAAACAAGUUGCUUUGACAUCAAGGGUUCAACAUAAUGCCAAAACAGCAAAAAACAUUUUGUUAAAAGUUUGGUAUAGCAAAUCUAAAAGAUAAGUUGAUUCAAAUCCCAUUAUGGUGCCACAGAUAAAACUAGUUGGAGGUUUGCAAAACUUUGCAAUAGAAAUUAGGCACCAAUCUAGUAUGAGAGAACGCAGGUUGCAGUUGCAGAUAUUCAACAAUCAACUGAGUUGAUAGUAACUUCUCUUAAUCUUUUAAGGAUUGGCUUUGCUCCAUAAUUGGUUAAAUCACAAAUUCAGCAACCUAGCCUAUCCAAUAUGUCAUAAGAUCACAGAUUUAGAAGCUGAUUUUAUUAUGAAAUGCACAGGGCCAUUCUAAGUCAGAUAGGAAUGAAUAAUUGCUUUCAGGGAAGAGCUCAGUGGUCUCUCAUAUUGCACAUGAUAUCAAGUCAAUGUGAACUAUUCACAUCAGUUUACAUCCAAGCUGAAGUAGAAGUGCCAGGAUGCACAAUGAACUAGUUGAAGUAGCAAACUAAAGUUUUUCCCUUCAUAUUCCUAUAUAAUUAAGACAGCUAAAAUACAGAUUGGUACUUUGUUAUAGCCGUAUUCAAACACAUAUUUUGACCUCUGUAUAACUAAACUUCAAUGGAGCUCAUUAGAUUGGAAGCAAUAAGUUCAUUGGAAUACCCAAGAUGGGGCACACUCAAACGUAAACAAGCAGAAUACAAUAGGUGCAUCUAGCAAAAACACUUCCAUUUUAAGAGAUGGUCUAACGGCAUGGCACUCAGACAGAAAAUUCAGACCAAGAAUAACAUUUUAUGAACCACCAUCAAAGUAACUUUUCAAAGAGAGGAUUAAUACAUAGGCAAAGACCAGCUAUCAUUAUUGUGGACACAUAGUCUAAGACAAUCCCAUGCCGUAGGAUGCGUGGCUGCAAUAUAUUGAACUCAGAUUUGACAAAAUCAACUCCACACAAUCCAUCAAAAUCCCAUUGAAGAAGCAUAAGAAGGUAGAAAUUUCAGCUGAAAAGUGUUUGAAGAAAGAGAAAUAGAAGAGAGAACAGUAAAAUAGGUAGUGAGAAGAGAGAAUACAAGGGAAGAGCAAGGAGAAAUUCUAUGAAUCAUUGACCCCAAAAGAAAACCAAAAUCCAUGCAAUGCCUCCCAAAAGAGCAUACGCUUUUAUGGUUUUUGACAGCAUAGGAUUGCUCCCUAAGGAAAUAUAUAAGUACAUAGAAGAUGCCACAAAGAAAGCUCACGUCUGUUGCUUCCUAUAUAGUUACUCCAUGGUUAAGUUCACACAACACUAGUUUCUAUAAGGUAAACCUGGCUUACUUUCACUGCAAUAUAUGAUAUGAGUAGACAACAACACAUAUAUCUGGAUAAACUUUUGAAAUCAGGUUUUCAGGAUCUUUUACAAAUUUGUAAUUUUAUUUACUUCACCCUCUCCCUAUUCUUAGAAAACCUAAAAUUUUGGCUCCUUCUGUCCGUUGCCUUUGCUAAUAAGCCGUUCUCUGUCUAGCCAAGCUGGUAGUAAGCCACAUUAUUACUCCAAGGAAUCAAUUCCUACCACAAUAAAACUACAUUACUCUCCUCUGCUUUCUUACAUUAGAUCUUUAGCAAGCAUCAAUAACCAACUUCCAAAUAACAAACACAACCAUACAGUUAAAUCAAAUUACCAAAAUCAAUUUCGAAAAAUAUCAUAAAAUCGUGAAACAAAGAACAUUGCAUUGCAAUGUAUUGUUAGUAUACCCAUAUCAGUAUCAUACAUAUCAUUAUCAACACCACCACCACCAUCAUCAUUAUCAUCAUAAUCCUCUUUUGACUCUAAAAUCACCAGCUCUUAUUGUCUUAACGAGCAUAGCUACAGAACCCAUUAAUGAAAAUUAAAACUUGAACUACCUAGCUUAAUCAAUAAAUACACUUCAAAAUGCCCAUUCCCAAUCUGUGACUCAUCCGCUAAUAACCCUAUUGAUAGCUGACCCAUCAAGCUACAAAUUAAUCAGAAUCAAACUCAAAACAAAGUAAUUAAAUAAUAAUAAUAAUAAUAAAACAACACAAAUAUACCGGUGAACAAAUUGACGAAUCCGAGGGUGCUUAGGGCUGAUAACGCGACGCUGAAUCCUCAAAGCAAGCCUGUAAGUCCGCUUCAGUCCCAAGAAAUACGCUGUUCCCAAUGUGAUCUCCCACAGCACCAUUCUCUCUCUUGCUAGAACUCUCUCUCUCUCUCUCACUCUCUCUGAGUCUCUCUCUGUGAGUGUAUUUAUGCACUUCUUUUUUCUAGUUUUAUGUUUAUUUAUUUUGUAUAUUUUUUUAUUAUAUUUUGACGUUUCUUUUCUCCCGAGUUAAAUCUAUGGAUUCUUUGAUUCAAGUCGCCAGAAAGUUCGAUCUUCGUUGCCCAUCACGCUUCGGUCUUGAGUGUUCAACUGUUUAUUCUGUGAGCUUCUGGAAAUUCUGAGGAAUUUAAAUUUUGCACCGAAUACAAAACAUGUGAUGAAAAGUCUAAAAUGCCCUUAUAUUGGAACGGCCAUAUGCACGCCUCUCGGCCUCUGCCUACAGUCCUACACCCAUUACAUAUGGUUGCGCGACCUUUUCUCAAGGUGACAACCAGUCUCGACCUCAAUGGUUACGUAAUUGUGGUACUCAUAUUCCUUCUCGAUCUACGUUUGGUUUUAUUUAAUUAAUUUUUUAAUUGCUCGAAUAUUAUCGAAAAUAUACAGAUUAUGAUUCGACAAUUUUUUAAUUAUUCCAUGACCAUCUAACUAUAAUUAAGCAAUUUAUCUACGUAUUAUAACUAGCAAGGAAUUAAAUUAAAAAAGUCUGUAACUUUUUUUUUUUAAAAAAAGAAAAAAUAACAAAAAAUUGAGAGAGAGAUAUAGCGGGAAAAAAAAAAGGUAUUUAGGUACUUAAGUUGUGUUGUUAUAUUGGAUGAAUGUAUUUCAUAGUAUUUUUUAUGGCAUUUUUAAAAUUUAAAAAAAAUAAUAAUAGAAAAAAAGCCCUCUACAUCUCUUCCAGGUUGAAAUUACCUAGUUAAAUAGAGAAUUUUAUUUUUUAAAAUAAAAAUUACGCCGCCGUUGACCGGCGUUAUCGAUGAUGAUCGCCAUCUUUUAUCGUGUUAAAUACAUAAUAAUGAUAAAAAAAAAUAGACGAUUUACUCAUUGGAAGUGUUAAUUUUGCAUAAAAUACACUAUAUAGUUGGAAAUAUGGGAGUUAAAAUAUUCCCAAAUAUUUAAAUAAGAUUUGAGGUAAAUAACAAUGUAUAUUAGCAUUUCUAACUCCAUAGAGUUGUAGAUCGGCUCACAAGGAUUCCAUUGGUACAUGUUUUGAUAGUGAAAUGCAUCUCCAACGAGUCUUCAGUGACGGUCUGGCGAUUCAACUUAGUGCUUUUUCUUUUUUCAAAUAAAUUAUCCUCUUAAGUUAAGAAAAUAAAUAUUAAUUAUUUGCACUUUAACUUAUUUAAAAUUAAUUUUAUUAGAGAAUAAUAAUGGAAUUUUUGUAUUCCAAUAGAUGAGAAAUUCGAAAUCCUUACCCAUUGAUAAGGAAUACAAAUUCUUCAAUAUGAUGGAAAUUUAAUUUUAAUGAAAAUUCAAUUCUAUUGAAUUUGGUCCAACCAAAUAGUGGAAAGUGAAAAAGAAAUCAAAUUCUUUUCCUCUCCCCACUCCUCUACCCCCAAGCAAACAUGGCCUAAGUGUUAAUUUUCAGAUGAGGCAUUUAAUUAAUUAGAUGAUAUGAGUAAAGAUAUUAACAAACAAAUCAUUUUCAUAUGAUAGAAUUUCUUUUGCAUCAACUAUAUCACACCUGUGUAUUUUUGGACCCUAAUUAGAUAUAAUUAUCCUCAAGUUUGGACGUCUGUCUGAUCAUAGCUUAAAUCCAAACUUGGUAGGGACGUUUGGACCGAAGCACCAUUUCAAAGAACAUACCAACUUGUUUUUCCAUUGCAACAAUUUCCUCCAAAUUACUAUAAUUCUUCAAGUACCUAAACUAGUACCGAAGAAAGUUGAUUAUAAUAAGAUUUUUCUAGGGUUAGAGUUCUCUCGAGAGUAAUAUUUUUCCUUUAAAAUAUCUAAAAGGGACCAUGGUAUAUAGAAGCAUAUCAAGGUUAAGGGUUUAUACAAUUUAAGAGUAAAUUUUCAGAAAGAGUCAAAAUGACUAUUGAUAUUUAUCAAAUUUUGGAAACUGAUGGUUGCAAGAAUGGAAUGGAAAGCUAAGGGUAAAGAAAAGGGGAAUAUAAUGGGGAAAGGAAUAUUGAUUUCUUUAAAUUGUUUGGUUUGGUCAAGGAAUAUUGAUUCUUUCGUUUGGUUACAAAAAUGGAAUGGCAAGGGGAAAGAAAACAACUAUAAUGCAAAUGAAUAAAAAUAUCCUCCACUAGAAAAUGUAUAUUUCAUCGAGUUGAAGCAAUAUCUUAGUUGUUUUGUUUUUUACUACCAAAUAUUAUAUAAUUAACUUGCAAAAGUUAGGUUCAAUUACGUAUUGUGGUUGAGCAGCACUUAAGUGUUUGUUAAAUUUCUUUUUUUAUGUGAUUUGAGAGUUAAGUUUUUUUUUCUCUUAUUUAUAUAAAGGCAUACUUUCAUAUAUGAUAAUUAAGUGCAAGAUUGUGUAAAACACACCCAAGAUUUUAUUUUUAAAAGGGGCUGACACUAAAUUAGGUCUUCUGCUCUAACCCCUACCUUAGAUCUCCCAAAUCCUGCUUUAGAGGACCCCAUCUCUUUCUUCACAAAUUUGGCAAAUUCGUUGCCAAUUGCAAUUGCAUCCAGUUUAGACAUUUUCCCUGAAUGACACUUUAUUAAAACAUCCUUGGAAAAGUAUUUGGAUGCAUAUCCCAACAUUUUAGGAUGAUUUAAUUUUACUAAAUUAAUUAAAAAGUAAGGGGAAUAAAUGAUUUUUUCUGGACUAGAGCCCAGUCUAACCCACGUGUGGGUCUGCCACUAAGUUUACUAGUUGCGACUAUAAAGCGAAAUACAAAGAGGACAAAAGCAAUAGUGAAUUAGAUAUCUCAUGCUAAACCCAUAAGGCGGCAUCCGCAUGUAAUCUCCAUGUGGAGACUUAAGAGCCAAUUAACCACCAAUUAUCGAGCGUCAGCAACUGAAUUUCUUUGCCAAAAGAGGUGGGUCCAAUGAGAUCAACUCUUAUUAUAAGAUAUAAAAUUAAAAAUUGGCAUCCCAAUUUUCUUGCAAGAGUCACAAUGCUUAUUAGAAUAUAUAUUACAGGGCUUUGGAAAUUCCAAGCACAGGCAUCUCUGCUUCCACAAUACACACAUCAUUCACAAGAAAACCAUUUCCUGCCUUGUUCAGGUAAUUGAGUUCAACAAAAUUUGUCCAACCCCCAAAUUUAUUUGAGGUAUUUAACCAUUCUCCAGCUGCGAACACGACAAUAGAAACCUUGAGUUAUUUGCAUUUAGCUACAAAACUUAUUGAACUGAAUUACCUGUUAAAGUCUGGGUUUAUAAUAAUUUACCUUUUUUUUCAUAAUGCUUUGACAGCAAUUGAUUCCGGAUUCGCAGUGUAAAAUGCACGUAUAUUUUAGAACCACCAGUUAUAGUUGACAAGUCAGUCAAUACCAAGUACAUAGAAAUAUGACUGCCACUAGCUUCUCCCAGUCCUUUGGGAAAGAGUAGUAUCUUCCUGAAGAAAAAUCAAGGGUAAAGUUUAAGUCUCUGCAUUCAAUUGUAUGUAUUAUCAAUACAUUAACUUUCAGAUGUGGCAUUUAGAUUAUUUAUAUGAAUAGAGAAACAAACAAAUUUUAACAAUUCAUUUUACAUUAUACAUUUGAAGAAGUGGUUUUAACAUGAUACAUCUUUUUAACAAGUUGUAUUAUUCAAAACUCAAAAGAAUUUCUUUUGCAUCAGAAAUCUAUUGCAGAGGUACAAAUGAACCUUAAAGUGUUAGCCAUGCUAGGGUCUAGAUUUAGUCUAUGAUAUAUUAGAGUUUAAAUUGCUGUUAAAUGUAGAACUUUGAUCAUAUUUUAAAUCCGAAUUUUAUGAACUCCGAAUGUUCGGAUUUGAACACCAUUUCAGAAAGUAUACAUACCACUUUUGAUCUCCAGCAACGAAUACUUCUGAUUCGUAAAUAUUGUCCGGUAACUUUGAAAAGUUCUUGAUCUUCCAAACAUGCUUAUAAUUGGAGGCAGAUGUCAAUUUCUUCAUGGAAAGGCACUCUCCUGUGCAUUUUUUCGUUUCUUUAACAAAUACUUCUGCUCCAAAAACACACGUAUCUCCCAUAAGAUAUCCAUUCGAAGCAUUAAUAAAUUCUUCAAGCGGGAUGAAUUGAUCAAAACCCCAUUCAAGCUUUAAUCCAUGAAAACGUCUUUGUUUACCCAUGGCAUCUAUCACAUGAAGGUGACCGGCCCAAAUCAUUGGUCAGGUCUCACUUAAAUAAUUCAACACAAAACAAUCAUAAACAUUAUUGAGUGUUUGAGUGUAAUAACUAACCUUGAAGAAUCAAGAACUCGUCUUUCUUCUGAUCAAGCACAAAUAGGCGGAAAAUCACAUAGACUUCCCAACCAAGGCCAAGUGAACUUGUGUCUACCAUAGCCAAGUAGAUUGAGAUGUGGUCUUUCACAUUUUCAUUUUUAUUUCCAUUUGGGUAGACAACAAGUUUCCUGAAACCAUCAUGAAUUCAAAAUAACAUAUUAGAUUAUGAUAUGUAAUUUAGUAAUAAGGUGAUCUGAAUAUAGUGGAGUAUCAAGGAGAAUAAUGGAAGAGAUUGCUGUCCGUAACUUAUGGAGAGUAUCAUGGAGCUUGAGAUUAUCUGAUAAAGGGGAGCUGAGAAAGAGUCAGAGAACAUACCAACUUGGUCUACAAAGUCAUUUUCCAUUGCAGCAAAUUCCUCCAAACUAUUAUAAAUCUUCAAGUACUAAAACUAGUACUAAAGAAAGAUUGAUUAUAAUAAGAUUUUUCAAGGGUUAGAGUAUUCUCUCAAGAGUAAUAGUUGUUCUUUAAAAUAUCUAAAAUGGACCAUGGUAUAUAUAAAGCACCAAGGUUGAGGGUUUAUACAAUUCAACAUUAAAUUUUCAGAAAGAGUCAGAAUAACUAUUGAUAUUCGCCAAGUUUUGGAAACUGAUGGUUGCAAGAAUGGAAUAGAAAGGGGAAUGCAAUGGGGAGAAGGGAUAUUGAUUCUUUAAUUUGUUUGGUUUGGUCAAGGAAUAUUGAUUUCUUUGCUUGGUUGCAAGAAUGGAUGGUAAGGGGCAAGAAAACAACUACAGUGCAAAUGAACAAGAAUAUGUACCCUCCACUCAAAAAACGUGUAUUUCGACGAGCUGAAGCAAUAUUUUAGUUGUCUAUUUUCUAUUAUCAACUAAUAUAUAAUUAGCUUCCAAAAUUUAAGCCCGAUUUAGGACUAUGUUUCAGCAGCACUUAAGUGUUCUGUAAAUACUUAUUGAUUUAAAUUCAUUUUAUUUUACACUCGUAAGAUAAAAAAAAGUCUAUAGUACCUUACCUAUUGCGACUGGCAGAAUACAGAGAGAAAAAAAAAAGCAACAAUAAAUAAGAUAUCGCAGGCUAAACUCAUAAGAAGGCAUCCCCAUGUAGUCUCCAUGUGGAGACUUAACAACCAAUUAACCGCCAAUUAUCGAGCGGCAACAAUUGAAUUUCUUUGUCAAAAUAUAUAGGUACGAUGAGAUUAACUCUUAUUAUAAGAAAUACAAUUAAAAAACUUGGCAUCCCAAUUUUCUUGCAAGAGUAGCAAUGCUUAUUAGAGUAUAUUACAGGGCUUUGGAAAUUCUAAGCACAGACACCUCUGCUUCAGCAUUGCACACAUCGUUCACAAGAAAACCAUUGCUUGCCUUAUUCAAGUAACUGAGUUCAACAAAUUAGUGCCAGCCCCAAUCUUUAAUUGAGUUCCUAAACCAUGUGCUGGCUGCAGGAACAACAAUAGAAACCUGAAGUCACUACUAGAAAAAUGGCUUUUACUGACACUCCUCUUCUGACACUUUUCUAAAAAGUAUCAGUAGUUACAUAUAUUUGGGUCAUUUUCCGUGUUUAACAGACAAGUUCACAAGUUACUAAUUCUAUGGUGUUUGUAGAUUAAACAUAAGAGAUUAUCGACACUAUGGUAUCAGAAAUAACAACAAAAAAGUCUAUUUUUGUUUUAAUUGCUACUCGAACCUAAGACCUCAAAACUGGAGUGCUUUAUGUUCAAACAACAAACCACCAGGCCAAAUUCGUAUUUUAGUUUAUGUUGAAAAUGUUCAAAUUAUCAUAUUAAAAUAACAACAAUAUAAAGCAAAAGCAAAAAACCCUAAAAUCAACAUAAACAUAAAAUUCUCUAACUUCUAAUUCUAUGGCCAGCCGCCUCAUCUCUCUGGCAAGAUCCUUCUUCUUCUUCGUACCUCUAAAAAUUCUCCCCUUCGAGCCCUAAAAUUCAAGGGUCCAUGCCAUGGGAAAUCCUAACAACAUUGCUCAAAUUCUAAGACCCAUACCAUACGAAACCCUAACGAGCUACAUGAGGUUGCGAAACAUCCACCAUGCCACUA
rnacentral:lncRNA from 1 species